ACUCACACUCACUUACAGGGUGUCUGCUGCCCGGACAGCGCUGCUGCAGCGGGUGAGUGUUCCUGGCUGCACUUUCCUGCCUCUACUAUUGUUUAUUGUCUCUUUUUCUGCUUUUACUUUCUUCUGCAACUUGUAUAUUUGUAUCUUUCAUUUUUUUUUUUUUAUGCAAAACCUCUUUCUUUUUUUCCUUUUUCUGUCACUCUUCCCCUUUUUGCUUUUUUUUUUUUUUUUAAAGGCAUGACUGUUUUGGGGGUUCUCUUGUAAUUUUAACCUGGAUACUGUUUGCCCAAGUUUAAGGGGUAACCCCCACCCCCUCCCUCUUAUCCCUUGUAUCUGGAUACCAGACUUCAGAGUUGCCCAUUGAAAGAGACUUGCUUGUGGUUAACAGAAGUCUGCCAGGGAGCAGUGACUAAUGUUGCUGGAGCUUUUUUGCAGCUAGCCCCCCAAUAACUGCCCCCACAUGCUGGAGUGUCUUACAGCUUGCCAUGUAGCAUGCCAACUUGCUGGAGGUUACUGCAACAAACUUGGCAACUAUAAUUAAACACGUCUGACUCUUUUCUUUUUACAUCAUGCCCCUUAUAGGUGCUUAGUUACAGGACUUUCUGUAACCUACCUCCAAAGCAUGCCCUGUUAUUAGACUGUUCUAUAAUGUGCCCCUUAAAUGUCCAGAUAGUGGACUUUUCUGCAACAUGCCCAUUAGUUGGCCAGUUAGUGGAUUUUAUGCAACUUCAAAAUUGCAGGAUUUCUUUCUACAAACUGUCCCAGGGCACCCGAAUUAUUGAACUGUUUUGCAGCCUCCCUCACUAUGUACCAAGUUACUUGAUUUAGUUCUAAAUGUCACUUUUGCCUACUUCAAGGCAGUGUUUGCAAUAGUCUUAGAUGCCCAGGAGCUAGUCCUGUAUUUCUUGCCCUUACCAUUUACUAAAUGUUUCUUAAUCCAGAUGCCUCUGAAUGACCAAAAUUAUACUGAUGCAUAAUAUUGAUUAUUAGUUACCCAUUUAUACUUUUUAUUACUGAACUAUACUACCACUGUAUACCCUGCUUUUAUUAUAUGAAUAUAACUCUCAGUACUUGUUAAUGGGUUUUUAUUCUAAAUCAUAUCUCUCCUUCCUCCCAUCCCUGAAUAUCCCUGUGUGUGAAUGUUCAGUAUUUACUUCACAAUUCCUGAGCUUGCUAGUAACUCUAACUGCACUUAUCCCAUAUCUUCUGUGGUUAUUAGUAAUCCUGAAGUUUCUCCACUUACUUGGGUAUUAUGCAAGGAUCAUCCUGGCUUACAGCCCCAGUGAGCUUCACCAUUCACUACACUCCUGUGUAUAAAACUACCGGUACAUCAUAGUGUCUUUUCAAUUUUCUCCCACUUCUUGGUGCAAGGGGAAGAUGGAUGGGGUAGGUCAGGGUACCCUAAUCUAACAUGUUCAUGGGUGAAGUGUGCAUGUGUUACUAAGGCUUAAUUGUCUUGUAGUCUAGUGUAUCCUUUAAAAUCAUGCAAUAGGCAGCAUUAAAGAAAAAAAAAUAACAAUUGCCCAUUCACGCUUCUUUUAUUUUUCAAUUCAGAAUACUAAGUUAUAACAAUUCCAAUGACAUCCCUUCAUGAAAACUUUUCUUAUUAUCCCCUGUCUCUUUACUGUUCCAUAAAUAACUGCGAUCUGUGAAUUAAUCUCCAGGCUGUACUCUCUCCCUCUCUUGUUUAUUAAUGUGAAUGAUGAUGAUUUCUGAUAAUUGCAGAAUCAUGUUAAGUGUUGUCACAUUUUGUACAAAAUAUAUUCAGCUGUCAGUUUGUUCUUUCACUGUGUUGUGUUUUCUGGCAAAAUAAAAGUGGCUUUAUUUAUGCCUCAGCUAUUCCUAAACACAAGUUUAAAAAAAAAAAUACAAAUCUGGAUUUUAUCCUUAACAUUUUUAUUUUGUCAAUUUACAGAUCGGCUACACAGUGCAUGGAUUAAUUGUAAAAAUCUACAAGCUUAUACACAUUGUGAAUAUGCAAUAUGAAUGUAUAUAUUAUAUAUGUAUGCACACACAAGUUCGUGUAGGCACCGUAAUAUCUGUUAUAAAGUUCUUUCCAAAUUCCAGUGAAUGUAGAUAUUCAGGCUUUUCCUUAUAAUUACACCAACACUAAUUUCCAAGUCUCAUUCUACAAAUACCAUCUGUAAGAUAAUUAAAAAUUAUAAACGUUUUUGCAGUUUGAACCAUCUGACACGUUAUUAAUUUGAUGUUACUCUAAAAAAAGGACACAAGCCUCCCUCUAAUGAAGAAAAAAAACAGAUAUUUGAAAGUAUUAUAUUUUAAAUGCUUUGGUGACUUGGAGAUACAAGAGUACCCAUGUGCCUUUAAUUUAGAUGUACAUUAUUCUAUUGAUAAUAUUAACAUUUUGGUUGAGGGUUGUACAUGUUUAGAUUGUGGCAAAUAUUGCGGUGAAUAUUUUUCAUAAAAUACUAUCAUGUAAUGAGGGUAUUCAGUUAUGGGAAUCUUGCGCGAUGUUAAUAAGCUUUAUACUGUAGCUGUACUGUAAUUUGAUUGCUGAUAUCGUUUAAAAUAAAUGAGUAAUGUCUGUAUGGUCACGGUACCGUAUGUGUCAAAUCUGCAAUAGACUUACCUUUAUUAUACCUUCUUCGUGUCUUAACCCUGUGUUUACCAUCUUACUACAUUAUAUAUUUGGGUUCCAUCAGCAUCCUAAAUGCGUAAAGGUGUGUUUGUGUACCUGGUGUUUACAUCUCUGUCGUAUCAAUCAAACUGAAUAAACUUUAUUUUCCAUUGUCUUUUAGAUGAUUCUACAACUGUGAAUGAGCAAGUGUUUUUUAUACGUUUUCCUGGCUGGAAAUGAAGGCAUUCCAAUUUUAAAUGAUGGAUGGAAAUCUUAAUCAUAUGAUUUGUUUCUGAAUUUAAGUCACAGAUCUACAACAAGGUAUGCAUAACAAAUUUCAGCCCCCCUCUUUAUUAUAUUAAAAUAUCAUCGAUUUCUCACAUUCGUACAAUGCUCAUUAGUAGUAUAUCAAUGCUUGUAUGUGUUUAUUUUUGAUGGUUCAAAUUCCUAUAAAAGACAGAGAUAUUUUCUAAAAAGUGAAAGUGCAAACUGAAAGUUUUGAAAUACGACGGAAAAUAAAAGUAUUAUUGUAGAUUUAAUGCUUUUUUUUUUUUUAACUUCCUUUUUUGUAGUCUUUGGAUUAGUCAUUGUCUGAGAGAGAGGGGAAAAAAAAUCCCUUUUUUGGGGGAACGUAAAGUAAACAGCCUCCAACAAGUGAACCUUGACAGGUCAGAUUAAGGAGAGCAGGGGAGAUCAAACAGAACUUCUACUGAGCUGUUGUCAAGAACAGCCUGACUGGAGGCUGUGGGCUAGCAAGUUCACUUAUGCAGAAACAGGCUCUCACAUACGUUGGUCUUUGUUGAGAAACCAAAGGUUCAGAAUUAUGAGCACAGUUUCAUAGUUAUUAAACAUGGAUUUUAGAGACAACUGAAUAAAGAGGUGAAGGGAAAUGGUGCAUUUAAGCAAUUCAACGUUUAUAGAAAAUUCCUUACUGAAAAAAAAAAUGCUUAAGGGACAGUAAUCCCACAUCUACGUUUCUUAAUGCUAUAUUGAGAUUUAUUUUUUUAAGCUUGAGUAAAGUUUUACAGCGAAGAUUGAAUCGCGUAAUGGAAUUUCGUAGGCUCUGAAGUAGGUAUUUUUUUAAGGUGGGUAAGUUUAGCCUUUGGUCUCAUUGUGUCAUCUCUCUGUUUGUUUUUUUCUAUUACUUUUAAAGUGUAAGAUUAUUUAAAUAGUGUUUUAAAUCUUGUGACACUACAACCUGCUUAUGUUCUGCUUACCUUUUCUGGGUAAGUACAUUUUUUAUUAAAUUGCCAUUUUGAGGCUAUGUUCUUUUUUUGGUAACUUUCUAAAAACAUGUACUCUUUAACUCCUUAAAUGAUAGAAACCAUCUUUUAAAUACUGGAGUUUUUUAUUUUAUUAUUGUAUUUGUUUUAUUCUGCAAAAUAUCUCUCCAUCUGGAAUGUGAACACAUGCAGUGUUUUUAUUAUUGCCAGGGACCUAUGUGUUGAAGAAUGCAGCAUGUAUCCUUAUUUUUCUCCAAUUUUUUUUUAUUAUUUCCUUGUAUGUUGUAAUGCACCUUUUAAUUUAACACUGUGAUCUGUAAUCAUGUAUAUGUACAAUAAAAAAAUGAUAAUUCACACUCGCAUGAGAGUUAUAGUUUGUCCGAAUUAGCAAUUUUUGUUAACCUUGAAAUUUCUAAUAUCCUCCAUCUUUAAAAACAAAACAAUUAAAACCAUUUUUAAUACAGAAGAGUAUCACAUUACUAACGAUUCAUUCAUGAAAACCUUUUAUUGACAUAACACAACUGAAACUAUUUGAAAACGUCACUUUAUUUUGUAUAUUUAAAAUGGAAUAUAAAGUAAGCGUGAAUUCAAUCAUUCACUGAUUUGUUGUAUUGUUACCCCAAAAUUAUAUGGGGUACAUGUUAUUUUCAAGUGGCCCUUUCAUGUAUUAUCUUUUCAGAAUUUUAUAGUCUAGCUAUCUGUACUUAACCUUUUUGUGUUACUGAAAUGUAAAGGGGAAAUAUAUUAGUGUCUGUCAGACCAUGCAAUAGAUUCUGUUUAUGGUUUAAGCUACUUUAAGUACUUGCAUUGGAGAAACUUGUUUAACCCCUGUAAUGAACAGCAUUAAGUGUUGAAAUUAGAGUUCUAAAAAGCAUCAACUGGCCUUUGCUCUUUUGCAAUAAUCUUAAAUUACAGAGACUUUAUUGCAUCUUCAAGGGACUGGAUGGUUGGUCUUUGGAGCAGAGUGCUAGGUGCUACAAUUCAGCUAUUUAAUUGUAAGUGCUAGAUCCGUUUCAUUCUGUGCAGUCUUAACUGAAAGUGAUGCUUUAUAGUUCAGAGAGACGUUUAACUCUUUAAAUGCAAGGAAGCUUUGGCAAGCAGUGCAUACCCUUGAAUUAGUCAAAGUAUUAAUCCUUUUCAGCGCGAGAGGAAUGGUCAGUGCACCCUGGCACUGAAAGGGUUAAAGCCCUGUUUGUAUUUUUAUUAUAUUAUUUUGGUUUCUCCUUAUGUAUUAUAACGGGUAUUUACAAGGAUACGGGUAUUUAAAGGCAAGCUUGAGAGAACAAUUUAUUUUGUAGGUGCAUUGCAAUGUAAUAUAUAACUGUAAUGUUUCAUUCUAAUUUUAGUGAUUAGUUUGUGAUGGGUGGUAUGAAACAAUUGCACAUGUUAGUCUGCCUGAAAUCAAAUAUCACAAGGUUAUUCACUAUACAAUGAAGUGAAGUAAAUCCAAAAUGGCAAAGUUGGGAAAUUAUCGAGCUCUCCUAUAGUUACAGCUUGGCUAGUUUAUCUUACAAUUUGUUUUUCUAAUGUCAAUGCACUAUAAUUCCCUACCAGUAUUCUGUAUAUCACAAGCAUUUUUCAGUACCUUUAAAUUGUUGACUUUCAUUAAUUGUAUUAACUGAAAAGCUAAUCUAAGUGUCAACUAGUCCUACUAUAAGCAAGUAUUUUUUAUUUAUUGUUAUUUGUUACAGUAAAAACAUUACCCCUGAGUCUUCCACUCUACUUCUAUUUAGUGCACCAUGCUAAUGGUACAGCGCUCCAGAAUAUGUUGGUGCUUUGUAUAUAAUGUUAAUAGCAGCCAUCCAUGAAAUGAAAUGUGUAAAUGCUAUCUCCCAAAUAAAACCAUAAUGAGGUAUUUCAUUAUAUUGGCGGGUUAAACAUAAGUCUGAUGAUAAGAUUAGUCGUAGUUGUAAUGGUGGUGUCUGUUAAAACACUUAAAUGCACAAUAAAAACACCCACCAACAGCUACACCUGACAGAUUUAGGGAGUCAUUUAGGGUUUUUGCUGCUGCAGAAGUUGGGGUAACGAUAAAGAAAGCUUGAUGAUGGACCACCGCCAAAAAGGUUAGUCAAAAUUGUAUGCAAGAUGUCCAGCACUUUAAGACUUCCCCAUUCCUAAUUAUUGUCUAUGUCUGCUAUUAUAUAUAUAUUUUUUUAAAACCUAUUCAUAUCAUUUUAGAUACUUAAUGCUACUGUAGAUUAUUGUUUAGUUAAAGGAACUAAUGUGUCAGGAAUUCAAACGUGUAUUCCUGACUCUAUAGUGCUGGAAUACAUCAUUAGGUCCCCAGCACCCCAAUAUGUGAAGAUUAAAGGUAGUUUACUUACCUUUACUCCACUGCUGCGGUUGACUCUGUCUCCAUCACUGAGAUUGUCAACAAUUCACUGCAUUCCCAUAGAAAACCAUUGUGAGACAAUUGCGCAUGCGCAGUAAAACUCUGCGCAAGGCCAAUCAUUAUCUCCUCAUAGAGAUGCAUUGAAUCAAUGUAUCUCUAUGGGGAGCGUUCAACGUCUCCAUGCAGAGUGUGGAGAUCCUGAACACCAGUGCUGCACCAUUAGUGGCCGUCUGAGUGACUGCCACUAGAGGUGUUACUAGCCAGCAAAGUAAGCACUGCAUUUUCUCUGAAAAGGCAUAUUUUACAUUGCUAAGACUUCAAGGACAGGCUAUUCAUUGAAGUGUUUCUGGUGACUUUGGUGCCCCUUUAUUGGCAAAAGUUUUAUUUGAUAUGUUCUCUGUGUACCCAGUAUAUAGCCCAUUUUCAAACAGUUUGAUACUUUGUUCCCUGGACACCUUCAGUGCAGUCUCCAUUUAUCUAAAAUUUCCCUUCCUCAAUAGAUCAAUUUUGUCUAUAUUUGGACAAUAUUCAUUGGCUGAGAGAGUCAGUUUAUGUAUUCAGCCAAAAAAGUCUGUCCAAAGGGAAGAGAAUUGACAUCACUUGGGGGACCCAGGAAAGCUCUAAACAGAGAAUGGUGUGACUACUCACCUAUGGAUGAAAUCAGGAGACCCUCUACACUAAACACACUCUACACUUUAUACAGUAUAUACAACAGUUACAACUGUGUGCAAAUCUAGCCAUAUGUAUUUGACACUCCCAAACUGCUCUCCUUAAAGGACCACUCUAGGCACCCAGACCACUUCAGCUUAAUGAAGUGGUCUGGGUGCCAGGUCCAGCUAGGGUUAACCCAUUUUUUCAUAAACAUAGCAGUUUCAGAGAAACUGCUAUGUUUAUGAAUGGGUUAAGCCUUCCCCUAUUUCCUCUAGUGGCUGUCUCAUUGACAGCCACUAGAGGCGCUUGCGUGCUUCUCACUGUGAUUUUCACAGUGAGCGCACGCCAGUGUCCAUAGGAAAGCAUUAUGAAUGCUUUCCUAUGUGACUGGCUGAAUGCGUGUGCAUUCAGCCGACGGGGAGGAGAAGAGGAGGAUCGGAGGAGGAGAGCUCUCCGCCCAGCGCUGGAAAAAGGUAAGUUUUACCCCCUUUCCCCCUUCCAGAGCCGGGCGGGAGGGGGACCCUGAGGGUGGGGGCACCCUCAGGGCACUAUAGUGCCAGGAAAACGAGUAUGUUUUCCUGGCACUAUAGUGGUCCUUUAAAGCUGAUGAAUUAAAGUGAACCUAGCAAGUUCACUUUAAGUUCCUAAUACAUCAUUAGGCAAAAUUUGGAUAAUUGAUCUUUAUUAUCAAUAAUGUAUCUCAUAUCUUAACUGAGAACUUAGGUUAAUGCUUAACUCUUGCCUAGCACCAAGAAUGUCAUUAUCUUCUUGCAUUCAUGGCUGUUACACUAAUGUAACUUGCACCUCCAGUUCCACCUACAUUUCUCACUCCCUUCACGAAAUGAUUGACUCUGCUAUCUACACUUCACUAAGAGCAAUCAUGUUAAAAGUAAGGAGAGGUAGGAGGCGCCUAGGUUUGGGUGGCUGUUAGGAAGGGCAGGAGAGCCAUCAAUAGGAGGGAUUCUCCUGCUUCUCUUUUGUCAAUCAAUUCUCUGCUAGAUGUCAAGGCCAACAGCAUAGAUCGUAACAAUGUGAAUUGAUUGUUUGAGAAGGGAUGUAACUUCCAAAUAAAAUAUGUAAACAUUUAUAGCUAAUUGGCUAUAAUUUCUGCUACCACAACAUGUAGAUGAAAUGUUAUGCUUUUAACAUAUGAUUGGUGUACAAUGACAGGUACACUUGUUGUUCUUCUCCCUUCACGGUUGAUCUCUCUUCCCCCGGCAAAUAAAUUGCAUAUGGCAUUAGCUACUCAUUUUGUGCAAUGUAGAAUAUGUGAUGGUUCUAAGCUGAAAUUGCAGCAUGCAGAUUAUUAUUGUAAAGAUAAGGCAUAUUCUGUUUCAUCCAUUUCUUUUUUAAGUCAGGACUCAAAUUUAUCACUCAAACACUAGCCAAUGGUUAGUGAAACAUCAGCACUGGUGACUAGAAAGUCUCCCCUGGUGAAUGUGUUAUAGGCUCUCCAGACUUUUCAGUGACUAGUAUCUUUUAAGUUUUGGCUAGUAGCAUGGGACUUAACAUGUUGAACUAUGUUUUAAGGCAAGCAUGUCAAACUUGCGGCCCGUGGGCCACAUGCGGCCCACAGUGACUAUCUUUGUGGCACGCCUGCCCUGGGGCAUCUUUGUUCUGUGGCUGCGACAAACUGCAAGACCGGAAACACCUUUCCUGUCUGCUCUGCCAUUGCCGAUCGAGUGCUACGGCGGCCGCAAGAGCGCUAAGCAUUAGUCUACGCCAGCCAUCAGAUAUGCGCAUACAGCGUGUGACAUCAUAUCCGGCAGCUGUGCAGUGGUGCUGGUGCUACAGUGCACAGAGUGGCUGUCUGUCAGCAGCCAACCACUACCCCUUCCCACCUGCUCACAGUGCUAGAGAAGCAUCUGGCCUGCUUGAGCAGAGAAGAGCAGGGCUGGAACUGGAUGACAUCUUAAGGUAGGGGAAGAGUGGCAUGGGGGACCUUCCUGUGUAGUGUGUUAAAUUGGGGAGGGAGGCAGUGUAUUAGUUUGGGGGAAGGAUGGGGGCAGUGUAUUAGAGUGGUAAGAGAGGGGGCAGUGUUUUAACUUAGGGAGGGCAGUGUAUUAAAUUGGGAGAGGCAGGGGGCAGUGUAUUAGAGUGGUGGGAGAGGGGCCAGUGUAUUAAAUUAGGGAGGGCAGUGUAUUAAAUUGGGAGAGGCAGGGGGUACAAGUAUAUUAGAUUGGGGGAUGCUGUGUAUUUGAUUGGGGGCAAGUCUGUUAGAUGGGAAGGCAGUGUAUUGUAUUUGGAGUAGUGUGUUAGAUGGGAGGCACUCUACUAGAGUGGGGGGAGGGGACAGUGUAUUAGAUUGGGUCUGCAUGGAGGCGCUGAAUGCUCCCCAUGGAGAUGCUAAUUGGCAGCGCAGCGUUUUCCCACACAUUCACAAUAGCCCCCAGUGGGAAAGCAUUGGAUUGGCUGAGAUCAUCAAGUUUGAUGAUCUCAGCCAACGUGAAGAGCACACUCAUAGGACUGAAAAAUCAACAAGAUAUUGUCAUUUGUUUUUACAGCUGUGUAACAGCAUGCAUCUACCAUUUCAGUUCCAUUACCAAACUUUUCUUAAUAUGUCAAGGUAGUUGGACUGAAACAUUGGUUAUAUGCAAAUGCACAUCUCCUUAAAAUAAACGUGCUCUUUUGUUUACUUUGAAACCCCACGAGCGUGAGGACUUCCAAUGUCAGUUAGGCAACAUUUUUAUACGUUUCUAUGAAAACUGAAGUUUUAGGUAAACUUUAACCUUGUUUAUUUGGCCCAUGUUAGCCUUUGAGUUUGACAUGCUUGUUUUAAGGUAUACCAUUUUCUUUAUUUGUCAUUAUGUACAAUAUUAACAGAUGUAACCUGGGUGCUAAAUAGUUUUCAAAAUUGUUUUCAAAAUGGCUUCACACUCUGGUGUAAUCCCAAAACUCCACCAAAAAGAGAAAGUAAUGUGUGCUAGUGAGUGGAGCAAUUUAUACCAUAUAUAAGACAGAAGAAAGAAUAUAUAUACAAACUGGUUUCGAUUUUAAGUGUAACUUCCAGCAAUAAUGGUAUAUAUGUAAAGAAAAAAGGGAAAAAAAGCAAUGAUAGUGCAGAUUGUAUAAAAAAUAUAUAAGCAUAUAUACUUGUAACAAUUCAUAAAUUGUGAAGUAUCACUUUAAGAAAUAUUUGGUGAAACCCCAAUAGGAAAAAGCUGACAUAAAUUUAUUAUCUGUCACAUGCAGAAAAAGCAGUACAUAUAUACAUAAAAUAGAAUAAUAAAAAAUUAUGAUAAAAAAUAGGGUGACAAGCCCCUUACUAGAUAAGGUGGUGAGUUUGACACAUAUAUGUCAACUCACUAUCAGAGUUCAAUCAUUAGGGUGGUAGGCUGCUCGUCCGGCGUUCUUCCUGUUUGGCUGCUAGAGAAUCUCCUCGUGUAUUGUCUGCUGCCAGAAAACAAACGCCUCCGGACUCCGUGGUCUGUACGCUCCUCCCCCUUUGUAUGACGUCAAAGCGUUUCGCCAAUCGGCUUCCUCAGGACGUGCUCGUUUGUGUGUGUACAGUGGCGUACACAGAAUCCAUGGGGCCCGUGGUGCGAAACUGAUCCAUGAGGCCCCUUCUUCUUCCCCCUUCCCUCCCUCCCUUCCCCUCCUCCCUCCCUUCCCCCCCUCCAUUCCCCCUCUCCCUUCCCCCCCUCGCUCCUCCUCCCCCGACAAACACACACACACUCAUACAUAUAGACACACAUACAUACAGAGACACAUACACACACACACAGACAGAUACAUACAGGCACAUACACACAUACAUACACACAGACACACACACAAGGCACACAUACAUACAAAGACACAUACAUACACACAUACAUACAUACAUACACACACACAGACAGAAACAUGCAUACAUACAGACAGACAUACAGACAGAUACACAGACACAUAAAUACAGACAGACACACACACACACAAGACACACAUACAUACAAAAACACAUACAUACAUACAAACAGACAGGCAAACAUACAUACAGACAGACACACACACAUACACACAGACACAUACAGACACACACAUACAUACAGACACAUACACACACACACAGGCAUGCAAACAAACAUACACACAUAUACAAAAUGUUUAAGUUACCCUCCUGUUUCCUACCUUUCAGGUGCAGGAGGGUGACUUUCCCUGGGGUCUAGUGGUGUCUUAGGCUGGUGGGAGUCAGAGUUCUCUUGCUGAUAGCUGGGAGGAGUGACCGGGGCAGUCACUUCCUCCUAGCAGUGAUCUUAUCACAUGGGGCCCGGUUGCGCUGUUAAAGCACCCCCUGGAAAUUCAUUUCCAUCUGGUGGCCCUAACAGGAUGGGCCACCCGAUGGACUCUUGAACGUGCGGCCCCAGCGGUUUGCCACGUGGGCCAGGGCUGCAAAACAUAGCUGCUGGUACCCGGUCCCAGGGGUCGGCCGGGCCCCCCAUAGUGAGGUGCCCGGUCACAGCUGCAACCCCUAUAUGUACGCCACAGUAUAUAUAUCUAUCACUGUGUAGAAGAGAAGUUAUAAUUAUAAGCAUCUCUGAUUGGUUUGGUAGCAUCCUGUGAUAUUUGUUUGAAAUAAUGUUUGUGUUUUAUGAAAUCCACCUCUAAACCUUUGAAACUAUAUUGUACUUUAUAUUCCACUGUAACAGAGCAUCCAAGCUUUAUUGACUGUCUGUUACACACAGUAAUAGAGACUACUUCUUUAAGUAACUAGUGAAGGGAACCCUAUAUAGCACUGGGCAUAAGUGACUUCUCAGUGGGGGGCGGAACCUAUCUAACAAGGAAUACAUGUUUGUAUUCCUAACGCUAUAGUGUUCCUUUAAGUAUAAUGAUGCAUACAGGAUCGCUGCUUUAUUAUAUUCUCUUGGUUUGGGAUAUGCUUGCUGUGCCAAAUAUUAAUUGCUAAUUCACUAAACCACAAAUUAUUAGAAAUUAUCCUGGAAAUUUAAAAAUGUUAGGUCAAAAUAGCAUAUAGAAAAAACCUGGGACUAACCUAUUUUUUCAGAUUGUCUAUUUUGGCCUCAAAUUUCAAUUUGCCUUGUGUGUUCCCAACAAUCCAUGAUUUAGGGAAUAGCCCUUUAAACUUUGACGUCAGGAGGUUGAAUGUCAAGAACCAAGUUUGACUCUGUCCUGGAUGCGGAAACAGUCCUAAGUAGCUGUCAAGAGGACAUCCACUGGAGUUAUGUUGAACCCUGCAAUAUAAAGAUUGGUAUAUCUCUGGUCUGGGUGCUUAUAUUGUCCCUUAAGAGCUGUCCAGUUCUUGACGUCCAAUGCAGAAGUUCACUGUCGCUGUAGCCAAGUCAGAUCAGAAGGGCUGGGCUUUUUGUGCCUGGAUAGGCUUUUUUCUUGACCACACUGAUCAAAAAUGGCACCCAAAGUCUCCCUUAGCCAAAACAGUUGCAAUGAGUGUAGUGAUUAUAGUGCUUAGAGGGAUCUUUCAUAAGGACAGUCCAAGCAUCAUAACUAUUACAGCUUGGAUGCCCUGGUGCCAUCCCCCAGUAAAAUAUCUUACCGCUUUUGCCUGAUCCCAUUGGGCACCCAUGCCAUGUAUGGUCUUCUCCAGGAGGAGAAGCCAGACGUCACUUUAGAAGAAAGCAAUAAGAUUGCAGGACUGGAGUCAUUGGCUGAAAGCGCUCAGCAGACGCUCUCCGCCAAGAAUUGCAUUUUCUGACGGCGAAUGUGGCACAGAUUGUAUCCAGGUAAAAUGUUAAACAAUGGGAAAACAGCAGACACUUCUCUUGAAACCUGCACUUUUAUCAAAUAAACCUGAAGGAAAGGCAUGUUAAAGUGUUUUAGGUACGUGGGGUGUUCCUUUAAAACAUUAACUAUUUUUUAAAAAUAUGAAUAAGAAACCUCACAAUCUAUAGGAUUGCAUCAUUAAUUAGAUUUUCCAACCUUGGUCUUACAGAAGUGAUAGUGAAUUGUGGGAUAUGCAGGCCAAACUCAGGUUUAGGUACAAGAUUGAGCACCCAUCUGAUUCCUUCCAUUGCUUUUUGAAAAUAUUUUGUUUGCUGUUACAUAUUAUCAGAUUCAAUAUUCCCAUCCCUGGUCCUUGCAUGCUUUACUUUCACAAUAUUAUGUCUCUUCCCCCCCUUCUCUCUUUUCUAAGUGAAGUUGUUUAUUUUCAUUAAUUAGUCAUUCCAGCAUAUUAUCACAUCAGUGAAAGAAAGCAGUCCCGUUUCCCAAGGCAUCUCAGAAAACUCGCAGCAAGUUUUAUGCGAGUGGACAUGUGUUGCCGUUAACUCGAGAUAGCUCAAGCAGAUGAUGCCAGAGUGCAUUAAGGGAGAUUAAAGAACAAGUGCUCUGCUAUGAGGACGUGUGAAAUAACAUCAGCCGUGUUAAAUAGGAAAUGUGCACUAAUCAAACAGAAACAAACAUUUUGCUUUAUUUAUAUAUUUAUCUUCUCUUUGUUAUAAAUAACCUUUGAUGACACUGCUACUUUUGACAUAUGAUCCCUACAGAAUUUUAAUUUUAAUUAGAGGGUAGGGCUAUUCACUAAAUUAGGAAUUAUGAACAAAUGAGUAAAAAUUGCAAUUUAUAAGUCAAAUGUUGAGCGCUGGAAAAAUAGCUAACUUGAAGAAUUUUUUCAAUGUGAUUAUUCACAGUUUUAUUGAAUAACCCUGCUCAUCUUUAAAUGCAAAAUCAAAAUGUGUCAUCUAAAUUUAGGUUUGCUUUAUUAUUAUUUUUUUUAACCCUUUAGGGGCAGGUGGGCUGUCAGAACCUUGAGCACAAACAGUAUGGUACGAAGCAGAGCUGAAAGGGAAUAUUUCAACAAUAUUCAGUAAUCCUGUUUUACUUUAUGAUAUAAAUGUCGUUGAAUUUUCUGUUUCAUGUUGGUACCGAUUUGCAUUUAAUUCUGGCUUUGAUUUUAGUAUUCUUGGAGGAAAUUCAGCGUGUAAUGGCAUUUUCAAUUCUUAUCUCAACCUCGAUAAAUUUACCUUUUGAUUUUGCCAUGCUGCCAAACUGGGAGAGUGAUAUGAUACCGGUAUUAUUUGCUGGAAGUGAAGUAUCUAGAUGAAGACAGUGGUUACCUCUUUCUAGCGCUUUCAAUAUAAAUAAUAAUAAUAAAAAAAUAUAAAAUUAUCAUUUAAUGUCACAACACUUUUUUUUCUGAACUUGUACUUUUUUUUUUUUUUUUUAAUUCAAGGUAUCCUGUAGAACUUUUGCAAUCAGUUGGCCUCCUGCCUAGCAUGCUCCUUUUACAUUAAAUUCCACCAUUUCUUUCUUUGUUGGGAUAAAACGUUCUGACUAUUAGUAUGAACUACGUGAAAGGCACACAUCACAUACAGACAGCACACGUAACACAUACACACAAUCAAUUGUUACACUAGCUCUUUUCUGUAGAUACUAAUUUGGCAUUACUGUUUCCCUGACUCUCAGCACCUUUGGUCUUUUGUUUGCAAAAUUUAUGAAUGUGUACAUAGUUUGUCAUGCAUGGCUAGUGCUAGUUAACGUGAAACUGAGAUGAGUGGGUCAGUUGGUGCGUGAAAGGUGGGUAAGUGGCAUGGGGUUGAGGCUGAAGGAAUUACCCUAGUUGAGAGGCGUGCCAGACAAAGCAAGCUGGCAACGUUUUUAGUAAGUUUAUAAACAUAUAUUAAAUACUUUUCAAACUAUUUUUGAUUUGAUUUUCGUUUGUAUAUCUGUAUAAAAGGAUUUGUUUGCGGGCUUAAAAUUUUUUUUCACGUUAAUCACGUCCCUUUAAGGUUGCGCCAAGUGUAUGUAACAAGGUCAAGGGCUGCAAGACAAAGGCCUGUGCUGAAGUCAAUAUGAUAAAAAGGAAUCAGAGACACACACAAAACAACCAAACAAGUAAAACAAAGUAACAAGAGCAGUUGUCUGCUUGAAAAGUCAAGGGGGUGUAACCAGGUAAAUUCAUAAAAGUGUCAAUUUCUAUUGUAUAUCUGCACUAAUUCCAAAAUGAAAAAAUGAGGAUACACCCUUCACACAUUAGGUUUUUUAGCAAGCUAAAGUGCUUCAGGGGUCCCUUUAAGGUUUAUUCCAACCACCAUGGCCAAUAUACAAAGAAAUCUGUCCGGGUUGUUCACCAAAGUGAGAAUUCAAAGUGAAUUCCAAAUUUUCCUCUAGUAUAUUAGUAUAUAGCAAAAAAGAGACAGAGUGUGUCUGAACCCACACCUCUAUAUAUAAAGUAUACAAAUAAAUAACUUAUCGUUAUAAAAUAACAGCUUCCUCUCGGGAUGUUCCAGACCUUAACCCGUAAAAAUAGAGUGUAUAUAUAUAUAUGGAUAGCAGAGGAGUAUAGCUGAAAAUCUACAGAAAAAAAGCAGUACAAUAGUGUAAUAUUGUAAAUAAACAAUAAAACUGCGCCAAUAUCAAUCGAUCACACAAGAUGAGAAUAGUAAGAUCGCCUCAGGGUGCCUCCCCUUACAUGUUUGGGGGGUAUAUCCAGAACUCCCUCUCAGCUGGCUGGUGGUGUCGCCACAAUAUGGAAGUCCAGACUCAGGAAAUGGUAAAAAUAAUCUGCUUUAUUAAUAAGUAUUUUAUAAGUAUAAAAGAUAAAAAAAACAAAUCUGGUCCUACGCGUUUCAUCUUAUAUAAGACUUCCUCAGGGACAAAGUAAUAAAAAACAAAUUUGGACAUAUGAAAUAUCCUAACAAAUGGACAAAAAAGCAGCUUGACCCAUCCCUCCCCAGUCCUUCCUUAUAUAUGGCUGACAUCUUUUCCUGUUGGUGAUCCAGGGGGUGUCUUCCACACUGUCCAGCUGUUUCAGAGGAUUUUUCAGUUGAUUUUCGUGGGUGCUGUACCCAUAUGACAUCACUUCUGGUAUGUCACUUCCGUUUUUCACUUCCGGGUGUAUUACACUAUUGUACUGUUUUUCUUAGAUUUUUCGGUAGAUUAUCAGCUAUACUCCUUUGCUAUCCAUAUACACCCUCUAGUAUAUUACCCUGUAAGUUUUUGUUGCGAGGUGUUAAACCUCCCUGCACACAUGACUUAGGCCAGAAUUCUGUUCCUGGGCUGACUAUAUGAGCUCUGCGCAAAAAAUUCUACCGUGGUGUAAUUAUCUCAUUCACUUCAGUCCAUCCUUGCACAAAUUGCUCUUUCCAACCCUCCCUGCCUCCUAACAUUGAACUCUCACUCGAAUCCCUACAGUCCAGCCCUCCCACUGUCCAGUUUUCCUUCUCUACUUCCACUACAAGUGAUGGUGCUUGCCGGAUGAUCCGGCUUGAGGAAAAAGUAGUCUUGAAGGACCUUGUAAGUUUUCGGCUAUUUUUACAGGACUUUUUAAUUUUUUUAUAGGGAGGCAGUAAGAGCCAGUAGUUGAUAAACCCAUGUAGAGUAAAAUUAACAUGGGUUAGCAACUAGCUAGGGGUAAGAUUUAGUUUGUUUUGUUUUUUGUAGAGCUUUUUCUUUUUUUUGGUUUUGUAAAAACUUUAAAAAAAAAAUUCUAGUUUUGACACGUUCUACUGUGCAGAUUAGCCUUGUGGAUAUCAUUGUAUAAUUCUAUAUAACAACAGAAGCAAUGUCUGAAGUUGAUAUCAGCAGAGAUAUUUAUUUAGUAAUAUUAAUUCAAAAAGAUAAAGCGCAAGCAAGUAAAAGUAAAACCUUAUACUAUCAGAGCAAAUGAGAUAUAUGGUGGAAAACUUGAAGGAACACUUUGGGCACCAUAACAACAACAUCAGAAUGAAGUUAUAAUGGUGUCAGGCGUUCCCUGGCAUCAGUAUUUCCUCAUUUACAAAAUGGAGUGGGAAAAUUACAUUUUUUUUUUUAAAUUCUUUAUUUUAUUUGUGCAAGGAAAAGACACAUCAGGCUUACAAUUAUUAUUAUUAUUAUUAUUAUGAUGAUAUUUAUAGAGCGCCGUCAAAUUCCACAGUACUUUACAAUGGGUGGACAAACAAACAUGUAGUUGUAACCAGACAAGUUGGACACACAGGAACAGAGGGGUUGAGGGCCCUGCUCAAUGAGCUUACAUGCUAGAGGGAGUGGGGUAAAAUGACACAAAAAGGUAAGGAUAGUAUUAGACUAGUGACAGUGGCAGAAGAGGAAUCAGUCAGGAGCUAUUAACAGUUUAAUUGAUACGCUUUUAUGAAGAAGUGGGUUUUUAACGAUUUUUUGAAGGAGUGGAGACUGGGUGAGCAUCUAACGGAGGAGGGAAGCGAGUUCCACAGGUGCUUUAGUUGCCGGGAUAUCCCUCACGGUGCAGCCCUCGAGAAAUCUUGAAGGCGAGCAUCAGAGGUGGGAGUACGGACAGAAGAUAGACGUAAGUCUUCAGCAAAUCGUAAGGGCCUAGACGGGACAUACUUGUGUAUAAGGGAGGAUAGAUGGUGGGAGCAGCAUUAUGUAGAGAUUUGAAGGCAAGAACCAGAAUUUUAAAUUGAGCUCUAUAUUUUAUAGGAAGCCAAUGUAGGGACUGACAGAAGGCUGAGGCAUGGGAGGUGCGGGCGGACAGGAAGAUGAGCCUCGCUGCCGCAUUCAUUAUGCCACAAGAGCAAGGUCAAGCAGUUAUUCUCAUGGUUUUACAUUAGUUAGGCAUUAGAGGGCAUUGCACAUUUUUUAUAUAUAUAUGAAUGUCGCUCGUCAAGUAUUUACUCCCGAACUGCUUAUCUGAGAAGGUGAGGUGCAAGGUUAGUUAGAACAGGGGAACAUAAGUAGCAUGAAAUAACAUGAAUUAACAGGAGAUUAGUUCUAAAGGUAAGAGCGUUGUUACUCAGGCUGAUAAUACUAACACAACUUAGGUGGGCAAUUAUUCUAGCAUGGUGUUGCAUUAGUUAGGCGUUAGAUGAUAUUGCCCAUUUAUGUGUAUAUAUGUUGAUGUCGCUUUUCAGGGUACACAACUAGCCAGGACAGAAUACUUUACAACAACAUAUGAUCUGCGCUAAAGAUUAUGGUUAGUCAGUUUUAGGCUGUCAGGCUUAUAAAGUACAGGCUUUCCUGGUCGUUAGUGACUUUAGCAUGCAUUAAGGUUCACACUUAAAUUACAUGUGAAAUAAAUGAACAUAACACAUUAUAAGAUGCUGCGCAAAGUCAUGUAUGGGGUCCGUUUUAGGCAAAACUAGAUCAACGGUAUCUGCAGGAGAGCGUCCCAGUGCGAGUGUGUAGGGCUUGUACACCAAUCUUCCGAUCGGCCUGCAUCUCGCGGUGGGGGGGCUGGUGCCUCGAUGGUGUGGUCAUUUCAGCCUAUGCCCCGCUUGUGCAGGGGUGUUAUAGCUGGAAAAGGUGUCUGACUCUGAGCCGCUUUUGUCGUCAGCGUGUGAGGCAGGUCAGUUACUUGGGUAUGAGUUCUCGGGGGUGCUGUGGGAGUGCGGCAAGAUUCCACUUUAUGUCUCCGCGGUCUCUUGUGUGGGUUCUCCACAUGGUGGGACUUCCAGAGUGUGGUGAGACUGCAAAGGGGUAGUCCCUGUUUGGUGGUAGGACGACUCACUGCUGGUCUUGGUCUGCGAUGUCGAGGUUUGUGUCGGGUCGUCCGCCUCCUCUUUCACGCCAUUUUAGCUUUGCUAUUACCCCUGAUGGGAGCCGCGGGUCUCUGCCCGGCCUUCACUUGGGUUGCUGCUGAUGGGGUCUCCACUUCUGUGCCCCCUGGUGGUAUAUUUCGGCCCAAAAGGCGACGAACAGGCGAUCCAACCUUUCUUCCAGAGGGGGUAGCGGGGCGCUAAUCAGAUGGUUACAAGUGGUGACCGCCAUGGUUGCUGGUGCUGUUCCGGCUGUGUGGAACAGUCUCCGCUGUAGUUUUGCUGCUGUGUGUCAGGCUUUAGUUGCCGGGAUAUCCCUCACCGGCAGGGGAGAGAGGGAGUAUGCCAGGGAGACCUCCAGGUGAGUGGCUGCAGUCAGCGUAGGGAUCGGCCACCUCCCUUGCUUUGUCCGAGUAGGCUUGUGGUAGGCCUAAGGUCUAUCCCCGCUUAGAAGCCGACGAUUUCAGUCGGGAUGCUUGUCGCUUGGUUCUGCGGUUUAGGGCUCCCUUCUCCAGGUCGCCUAACCAUCGAUUUGGUGGGUUUUGCCCCGAUUUUGGCUGAUUGGGAGCGAUUUUGCACGGAGCUCUUCUCAUGUGCGACCACUCAGCAUGGCCACUUGGCUCCCUCCCUCGUGAAAUUUACAUUUUUUUUUAUAUUAUAUUUGUGCACUUUUUGCCAACUUUAAUAUAUUUAAAAGAACCAAAGCCAGUUGCUUUUCUGUUUUUGUAUAACCAUGAAACUAAUUUUUAGUACUUGUAAGCAUGUUUCAUUAUAGGAUACAUGUAUAAUAUUUAAGGCUGUAACUAGCAACACAGAAACCUUUUCCUUUUUUGCCCCAUUUCUUUUUUUUUUUUUUGUAAAAAACAAAACACAUUGUAUUGAAUUAUUUAGGUAAUGGGAAAGAUCAGUUUGUUAGGAGAGGUGUUUUUAGUUACAAAAACUGUUUUUAAUGUGUUAAAGAGAAUAAUGUAGAAACGAUUUUCCCAUGAACUGGACCAUGUAUGGUAGUGACACAGCACUGCAUGAGCGCAAUGCUGGGAGGUAACCCCUUAACCCUUUACAUCCUUUGUACAGAUGCCAUUGUUUUUCAGGCAGUCUGCAGCGGCAGGGAGUGAGUUCAAAGGUAGGGGUUGAUGCAGUUGGAAAGAUGUAUUUUAGCUACUUUAUAUGGCUGGCUUGUAAUAAACUAGUCAUUGAGUCUGAAAAUGUGUGGUUUUCUGUUUCCAAAUUCCAAACACUAGCUCUCUACAGCUGUUUACUGACAAUUCCCGAUACCUAAUGAAUCAUCUUUUUUUUAGGACAGCAUCCCCUCCCUAAGUGAUUUUUUUUUUUUUUUUUAAUAACAUUUUAUUAUGUUCAGGAUACAAUUUUCAUAAAAUGUAUGGAGGAAAAAAAACUUUUCCAUGGAUAUUUCUCAUCUGAAUUGCUCAAUUUAGUUUGGAAAUCUCCUCCACCAAUCUCACUAUCACGCACUAAUUGAUGUUAAUAUAUCAAUAUAAUACUGUCAAAAGAUAUAUAUAUUAUUGUAUUAACUUUUAACACAGUGUAAAUUAUUAAAAAACUGUGUUAAGAACUUCGGUAGUUGAGACCCUUUUAUUGGUUGUUCUGGAACCCCAGAGAUGCCCUUGCAAGGUCAUGAUCAGGAAAACACAAGCUCCCUUUGAGUGAGUGGAAGCACUGGGGCCAACACAACAGCCGAAAGGUAAAUAGAGCAAUGGUGAAUUAAGUCAACAGGGUGAGCAUGUGUGUCCAUAGCGUCAGUGCAAGUCAGAGCUGGUCAGUGCUGAAUGCAGUAUAGUAUGAUCAGAUCCAGGCAAUGACCUACAGACUAGAUCUGAUCAAAGUUAACAUAGUAAGCCAGUGUUCAAUUAACCUGUAAAUACAUAUCAGACCAGGAGAGAUAGUAGUAAUAGGAAUGCAUCAAGGGUCAAAGAGUAAGGCUUCCACAAACUUGUAUUCUAGUCUAUGGCCUCAAUUUAAUAUUUUUGGAUAACUCUUCAAAUUAUUUUAUAUUUUUGGAUAAACUUCUCAAAACCAUUUAAUAUUUGGAAAAAUAUUUUGAUAUAUUGAAAUAGUUUUAUAAAUGAUAUAUUUUUUUAUAUUUUAAUUUUUAAAAAUAAUAAUUUUAAUAGUUUAAUCAAAUAUGUUAAUUCAUUCGAAAAGCUUAUUCAAAAUAUCAAAUCGAAGGCCUAUGGCUAAACACUGAUUGGAGCUAGCUAUUGGAAUUUGCACACCUCCAUUUUCAUUUUGGUGGAUACAUGGAGUGACACACGUCCUUUUAGUCAAAUCUGGUGUCAGUGAGUUCAGCUAAACAUCAGUAAGCACUCACCUGUAGUAUGGAAAUUGAAUGACUUUGGUCCCAUUAAAAGAAAUGUUGAUGUGCUCUAGCAUGGGCUAAAUGCCUUAAGAGCACUCUGCACAAAAUAAUUACACUCUUUCUGCAGACAUUUUCCUGGUGUCCUCAGAUAUUGGACACUAGGGAACUAAUCAGGGAUAGUGGGACAGGAACCUGAAUUCACAGUUUAUUGAGGUAUGAAUGUAUUUACAUUUUGUAAAUAUGUGUAUAUCUAUUUUAUAUAGGUAAAAUCUCUCUUCUUACUAAUAAUGUGAAAAUCCCACUAUCUGCCCUUGUUCACAACCUUGGUGUUACAUUUAAUGCCCUUCUCUCCUUCUUCAUCCACAUUCAUUCAGCUACUUAAUCCUACCUCUUUCACUUAAAGGAGAUACAGAAAUGCGGCAACAUCGCAACACUUCUUAAGUUAGUGCAUUUAGUUGGAAAAUAAUAGUGAAAAUAAACAGGUAGAAAUCAAUAAUAAUAAUAAUAAAAGGGCGGGGGGGAACAUCAAAGCAAAUUCAGUGAAUUGGAUCAAAUGAUAAAUUAAAUACCAGCUCUGCAGUACAUAGAGUGACCUCUCCACGCUUUAAUAAAGUUAUAGAAAAUAAUUACAGCAUGGAACUCAGCAAGAAACGCGCGUGAAUGGUUCUAGCAACUAUCUGUGAGGUGUUUCUUGCUGAGUUCCAGGCUGUCAUUUUCAUCCCAUUGUUAGGCUCCACGAAGACACUGUUUAGUGUUGAAUCAUUGCCGGAUAAUCCACUUGGAUGUCAUGAAUCAACUCAGUCACUAAAAACACAUUAUUGCUGAGUUUUCUGUGUCUUCUAUCACAGAGUAUUGAGAAUUCCCUUUUAUGUUUUUUGUGCAUUUUCACUUAAGUAAUAUAAAUAAAUAUUUAGGAUCUCAACUGGAUUACUGCCACUAAGUCCAGUUAAGUACUCCUCUGUCUUAUUUCUACCUCUACUACAAUCAUUUACCUAAUUUCCUUGUCAGCAGUCUCUCCAUUGGAUCUUAGAUCCCUGUUAGCUUCAGAUUAAAGAAACACUAUAGUAUCAGGAAUACAAACAUGUUUUCCUAAAACCAUAGUUCUAAAUACGCUGUGUAGGAGGCCCCCCCUUUAGUUAAAAAGGUGAUUUUACUCAACCUUUUUUCCAUCUCUGUCAAACAUUCAAGGUCCCAACCAUUACCUACCAAGUUCUAAUUAAUGUCUACUCUUCUCCUAUACGUCUUUUUAUUUUUGCCCAGGACUUGUGCCUCUCUUCUUCAGUCACUACUACCUCCAACUUCUGUCUGCAGUACUUCACCUGUGCUGUACAUUUUCUCUGUAAUUCAUUACCUCUAUAGGUCAGCCUCUCUAUCAAACACUUUAUAGCCUUAAAUAUUGCCUAAAACUCACCAAUUCAGAGAUGCCUACCACCCGCCUCCCAUAUACAAUAUAGAUUCCUAAGGUUGCCAACAGCCAACCUUCACACCAUCAUUUGGCCAGUCUUUCUAUUAAUUCCUCUUCAGGUCUGGACAGAAUGACCCUUACUCGCAUAUCUCAGAUUAGCGCUUAGUCCUUAAAUCUCUGCUCUUCUCUUCAAAUACUCCACUUUGUUCUUCUCCUCGAACUUGUGCUCUUCCUCACAAUUUGACUUCCUCUAUCAAACAAUCCCCUACUUGUCUCUAACAUUUACACUUCCUGCCAAAUUGUAAGCUUGCAAGAGCAAGAUUUAUAUUUCUGUACUAGUGUAAAGCUGUAUGCUGGGGCGUUGCUAGGUUCCAGAAACACCUAAGGAAAUUUUGAUGAACCUUACAGUAAUAGAGAGGCAUAGCUCCCAACUGUUCCUACUUAGGAGGGACUUACGCCUAGUUUGUGCCCUUUGUCCCUCGUCCCUCUUUACUAUCCUAAUAUCCAUCUUUUCUAGGAGCUCCAUGUUGUGGGUGUGAGUGUGUAAGAGUUUCAUAGCAAUAAUACUCCCCUCUAUUAGAGAUCUGGGGCUACUGGCAAUGUCUACUAAACUUGUCUGUUUACUUGUCUGUAGCUGUCUUAUAUUGCCCAGCGCUGCAGAAACUGCUGUAGCUCAAUAAAAAAAAAUAUGUACUGUGAAUACACACACUCAAGAAAAUUGUGCAGCUGUUCUUUUAAAUAUGGCGUUUAUUUCUCACUUAUAAGCUAAUGGAUUCGCUUAUAAAAGCCCAUCUUAUGCCUUAUUCUUUUUUUUUUGUUAUUUUUAAACAGAAUUGUAGCUAAAAGCAUGAAGGCUUUAAAUUAGGUUUACGAGAGAGAGAGAGAGUUUUUAUUUAUUUUUUAUGUGCUUGUAUUUUCUUCAGAUUAAGGUUUCUAAUAUAAGGAAGGUGUCAUUAAAAUUUUCAAGCAUACAAUUGAUUUGCUUGUAGUGGCGUACACGUUCUUCUCUCACUUCUCCAGUCCCUUAAAUUGGGGGUUUCAUCCAUAUUUUCAAGUACAUUACUCCUAAUGUCCUGAGUAGUGAUUUGUAAACUUCAUGCAAGCAUGUUUGAUGUUCCCUCUGCCAGGAAAACCACAAAGUGUAACAGAAAAAAUGUCUCUGGUGCGGCUACAUUUCACCGCCCUCUCAUUCUGGCCAUGUUCUGUGUUUUUUUCUCUCUCUUUUAAAUGAAGCUUUCUUGUCUUUGCCUUAGGCUUGUCUUUGCCUUAGCUGGUGGGAUUUGAAAAUCUACAUUUCUACAGAAAUAUUAUUUAUAUACUUUACCUACAAAUUUAAUCAGAACAUUCAAAAAAAGGCCAGAAAUCUACUUUUUUUUUUUUUAUUUAAUUUUUUUUUAACCAUAAUCGCAUGGAUUCAACGUCUGCACAAUGAGUAGUCUUGCCAAACAAAAUGAUUCGUUAAUGCCUGCUACGUAAAAUUUCCAGGCAACUGCCAUGUUGGCAAAGCCUGGCUUCCUGUUAGGUCUCUGAAUGCCAGGGUUUAAAAUAGCCAUAUGUUUUCGUUAAUAGCUUUUCAUUUAAUGGGGAAUGUUUAACUCACAAGCAUUUUAUGACCAUUACAUUACACAUAUUGGUGUGUGUCUUUUGGAUUCACCUUGAAUUGCCUGCACAUCUUCAACUGGAGAAGAUAUGUGUUAGUUGCAAGUAAUGUUGCUAUAUCCUAUAUUUAAAGGGAUGUUCCAUGCAGGCAGGUGGGUCUAUUAAUAAGCAAGUCAACCUUCACAUUAUCGCACAGCAAUGGGGGUAGGCUUUAGGUAAUAUAAUUGUUACUGUGGUAUAAGAAAAGGAUCUAUGUGUAUAUGCAUGUUAGCCACACUUUCUGUAUUCAUUUGAACCUUUUGCAUCUCUGUCAAACUGUUUGUCGCUUUGAUGGACUGAUGGUAAGGUUGCCAUAUAUAUAUAUGGUAGUCCAAGUAGGGCACAAAAACUCCAAGAACAAGAGUUUCCACAACUAUUGCAGCAUUCCCAGCUCCACAUGCUAUACUACACACACAACACUCAGUCACACUCAGGCUCCCUUGCACACAUACAAAACUCCACAUGCAUAACAUUCAGCCACUAACAUUCAGCCACUAACAUACACAACAUUCCACCACACCCAUGCAACAAUCAGCCUCGACACCAAGGGGUAACCCUAAUCUAGCUUUGCCCUCAUUGACCCUUUAUUCAUCACAGCACAACGAAGUAGCUCACCUAUUCCAAAGUACUGUCCCAGGUACGUUUUCUAACAUCAAUUUACUUUUCUACCAGGUGUAAUUUUGUAACCAGAUAAUGGACAAAUAUAAAUAGUAAUUUAUUUUGUUAAAUGUUUUCAAGUACUAAUGACUGAAUAAAAAAGAAAAGAAAAUGAACAAAAAAAAUAAAUAAAUUUAAUUUGUUGAAAACUGCUCCAUUAUGUCACAUUAAAAUAUUGGCUUGUUUAAACAUAUCUACAACAUAUAAUGCAUGCAAUUUAUGUUUGUAAGAAUCAGGGUGUCUUCAAUCUUACUGAAACUUAAUUUACAUCUCUAAAUAAAUAUAAAUGUGUACAUAUUUAUAUAGACCCAUUUAUGCCAUAAUUAAGGAAUACUAGUUAAGCAGAAGAAGGAUAUGGAUUAUAUUUGGUCUACAAUGCAUAAGGGUCAAAUGUGCUUUCCGCAGUUCUAAAAGCAGGUGAAUGAGCUGGGGUUUAUGCACUGUGAUAAUUCUGAUGGUAUCCUUAGUCAAUGAUGCAUGUCUAGAUCAAAUCACUGGUAUGAUCAGGGAAAUGUGUCAGUAUUUUUAUCAUUACAUAUUAGUGAUAAAUAACACACUGCUCCUUUGGAUAAGAUAGAAUGUAUUUAAAGACGUUCCAAUGGGUUUCAAUUUAAUAGGAGUCUCGGCUGAGUAGAAUCAUAAUCUUUUUGUAAUUUAAAUAGAAAGGUAAAAAUGUUCUUGUGUAUACCGUUGUCAUUUUCCUAUCAGGGCUACGCAAAGUUGAUUCCAUUUCAAAUGCGACUUACAACAAAACUGCAAUAAAUAUAUGCAGCAUUCUUUUCACAUAGUGACAGGGGCAUCGAAGUAAACUUACCACUAAACACAUAUUUAAUAAUAAUAAAUAUGUAGUAUGUUCUUAAACUAGCAACCCCCCCCAAAAAAAAAAAUCACUGUUUUGUACUUUAAUGCCUUGAAGGUUUCUGCAUGGAGAAUAUAUGCAACAGUUUACCUGAAGAUCACAACAUACAUUUGCAAAUAUAGCCCAGUGAAUGUAUUUAUGUAAUUUAUUUUGUUGUUACAGUAGCUUAAUUAUAAAGCUGUAUUCCUGGCACCACAGCUCCCUCUGUCUCCACCCUUCUUCGCGCCCCUCUUCCCUCCGCUCUGCCUCCCCUGACAUCCCUCAAUGAGUAGACGCUAUUGACAGCCACGAUAAUUACACUGAUUGACAAAUGUGAAAAUUUGCAAUUCUCUGACAUUACAUUACUUACAUUUGUCAGCAUGUGCAGACAGCAUUUAGGCACCAAAACCACUACCUUAGGCUGUAGUGGUUUUGGUACGUAGAGUGCCCUUUUAAGUGUUCUGCAACUUUGUAGACACACUGGUAAGGUUUCAGCCACUUUGUUUUAAUGUUAAUUUUAACAAACUGUUUUAAGAGAGUAUUGGAUUUCCGUCGCUUACAUUAGAGCCUUUUUCCAUCUUUUCAAAAUGUGUUUUCAUGUUUAAUAAGUUUAAUUUUUUUUAAAUUUUUUUUUGAGAUUUGAAGUUUUGUGGCUUGUAGCAAGCUUCAUGCCAUUUAAUUAUUAUUUUUUUUAUAAUUUCUUUAAUAAAUCCUUUAUCCUGCAUUGCCAGUUCCUUGAAGUCCAAGUUAUUUAAAACACAACUGCAGAAGUAAGACAAAACGCCAAGCUAAAAACUAGGCAAGAUAUUUCUCUUUUUUUACAAGAAAUGAUCACUUACUUUGACUGUUCAAAUGAAUCACUGCAAGAUGAUUUACGGCAGGUUUAUUCAUAUUUCUAGGUACAUCGUUUAGUUUAUGGCAUCUUCCCAAUCUGCAGUCUGGAUUCUUGAAAAUAUGCUUAAGAUGCAUGUUUUCUUUGCAAUGGUAAACUUACUAAAGUAAAACCAUGUUCUGUUCUAUGGCGUUCAUACACAAGGUUUGAAAUCGUAUGUGCUUUUCUUAUCGAUGAGGCUGAAUAUACAUAUUUUGAAAGAUGUUUCUUGUGGUCUAAAGAGAUACACCGGGAUCUUUUUUCUACCAUUUCAUGCAUUAUGUUGAAAAAUAACGCAUUAAUAAAAAUUUAAGAUACUGACCCAAGAAGAAUUUUUCUGAUCUUCCAUGUCCUUGUCAAGUGACUGUGAUAUCUUAUUUAUUAGCACGUUUCUGACGGUGUGAUAUGUUGUACCUGUAGGAAUGAAGUUGUACAGUAUGUGGACGUCAGUGGAAUUAUGCAGUGGCUGUUCUGUGCAUGAUUAACCAGCUCUGAUUAAUUUUAUCUUUUAGGGAUACGACUUAGAAGCUAUGUGUUAAAAAAGCACUGUCAUGAUGAACUUUCUUUUCUCCUAUUUUUUCUUCUCUCAGAAUCUGUUCUUCUUUUCUUUAUUUCUGAUCUAGUUUUCUUUAAAACAUAAGAUAAAAUAGGGACUACUUUGUCUUGUGUAUUUUUCCUAAGCUUGACCAUCUUUGACCCAAGGAGGAGCUUAAGUCAGUUCAAUUUCCUGUGUCAAGGAGGAGAGUGAGUAUUGUGGGAAGACUUUCUCUAACUCCUUUGGUCAAAGUGUCAGGUCCCCUGCCCCCGCACCGCUUGCGGGAACCUUGCUUACCCAGUCACCACGAGUGGCACCUUCUGGUCCCUGUCUGCGGUGUGCGGCUGUCCCCGCCACCGCGCUCCAGACUGGCAGUGUGUCUGACGCUGCACGUUCCACGUGACCCGGCACACAGUGACCCGGCACACGGAAACUCCUCCCACGUGUUUUGGUUAGCACUAAUUGGAGGUUAGAUAAACAGACACACCCUGUGUGUUUAUAAGCUAACCUCCCCCUUGCCUCAGUGCCCUUUUGUGGUCUGUGUUUAGCUCGCUAGCACGUUAAACUCUGUCUGCUUAUUCAGUUACUGUACUUUGGCUUGUCUUACGUUUACUCUGUUUCCCUUUGACCUUGGCUUGUACUUUGACUAUCCCUUUUUGCACUGCCCGGCCAUUCUAAGGACCGGUAUUGGAAUUCUAUGUAUUGUGUCCCAUCUGCAUGCUUAGGUUCCCCUGAUGAUCAUGACACAAAGAAAGUCAAGCUUAGGGAAAAUACAUAAGACAAAGAAGUCCCUGCUAUGUCAUAUGUUUUAAAACUAGAUCAGAAAUAAAGAAAAGAAGAACAGAUUCUGAGAGAGGAAGAGGAAACAAUAGGAGAAAGGUAAGUUCGGUUUGACAAUGCCGCUUUAAUUCAAUGUACCGCGGUACGAAGAAGUUUUAUCUUGCAACUUGGGGUCACCUGUUAUAUCAUGGUCAUCAUGACUUUAUUUUCUGGAUGCAGAUGUUUAGAGAAUUUCUUCUACAUAGCAGUCAAUAAUGACAUUCUGGAAUCUUGUGAGGCUACAAUAAUCACUGUCAUUUGAUACUGUCAUUUCAUUUUCUACUUCCACAUUUAUUGAAGGCAUCAUUCUGUCUCGAUUUGCAGCUGUUUUUCUUUCAUUGCUCUAAUUUUACCUUCAGCCGUACAAUCCACCCAGUUAUAUCACUUUUUCUGUAAUUAGGAGUUGCAUUUAAAAAUCUGAUUUUGAAAGAAUUUUAAUCAGUCUUCAAUAUUUGCAAGAAAUGUCCUAGAUUCAGAAUGCUUUCUUGAUUAUUUAUUAUUAUUAGCAUUUAUAGAAACAUAGAAUGUGACGGCAGAUAAGAACCAUUCGGCCCAUCUAGUCUGCCCUGGCCUUAUCUUAUUGUUAGGAUAGCCUUAUGUCUAUCCCAUGCAUACUUAAACUCCUUCACUGUGUUAACCUCUACCACUUCAGUUGGAAGGCUACUUUUUUCUAUGUGUGAGGGGUGCAGUGUGUGUGCGAGGGGUGCAUGUGCAUGUGUGAUGGGUACAGUGUGUGUGCAAGGGAGUAAUGCGUGUGCGAUGGGUCAGUGUGUGUGAGGGGGCAGUGCGUGUAUGCGUGUAUGUGUGUGUGUGAGGGGAGAAGUGCGUGUGUCUGUGAGGGAGGCAGUGUGUGUGAGAAGGCAGUGUGUGUGUGCGUGAGGGGGACGGUGCAUGUGUGUAUGUGUGAGGAGGCAGUGCAUGUGUGAGGGGGCAGUGCGUGUGUUUGUGUGAGGGGGCCGUGCAUCUGAGGGGGGGGCAGUGUGUGAAGGGGCCAGUCUAUGUGUGUUUUAGGGGGCAGUGUGUGUGUGAGGGGUGUAGUGUGUGUUUGGUUGUGAAGGGUGCAUAGAGUCUAUGCUGUGUGUAGGUGGGUGAGAUGUGAAAAUCUAUUUUAAUGUCUUCCCCUCCCUUCUUUUUACCAGGGAAGGGGAACAUAAAGUUGCAAGCCCUAGUGGUCCAGUGGUGGCAUGUUCACUUCAGCCUGUAGCUUCUCCAGCUGCAGGUCCUCCUGCAAGCACAGCACUGUAUCGGAGCAUUGCCAUGGUUACAUGUGGCAACCCUCCGACCAGCCUGCUCGCGGGAGGAACACAGAUCCUCCCAGGCACUUCCCUCCCUCUGCUGGAACUAAGUGUCCUCGGGCCGGUGAGGGAGAUCUUUGAUCUCCUCACCAGCCUGAAAAGGCUUACAGCAAGCCUGUCUCUGCAUGGGCUGGCAAGGGAGAUCAAAGGACCUCCUCUGAUGGCCUUGGUCCACGGCUAUCGAGGCCCACGGGCCUUUUCUGCAGAACCUACCACCGCCCACCUGAAAUCCCAAACCGGUUGGGAUCAGGUUGACUACCCCCUGCUCUAGACUGUAAGCUUGUUUGAGCAGGGUCAUCAUCUACUUUUUGAUCAUGUAUCAUUUUGUUUUGUCUCAUUUAGUGUUAAAUUUCCCCACUUUUGUAAUAUUGUAAAGAACUGCGGAAUAAGUUGGCGCUAUAUGAAUACCAAUAAUAAUAAUAAUAUAGUAACAAGUAAUUAACAUACAAAAAAUUUAGAGAAGGCAAGCUUAUAGUCUUGAUCUAAAGAGGGUGCUGUCUUUGUCUUUUGUCUUCUAACAUGCAGGUCGACUUCCUGCUUAUAGCAAAUUGCAUGCAUGGUGUAAAAGUUGCAUUUGAGAUUUUGUGCAAGAAAUAACACAUACCUUUUUUUCCAUACCAUAUCAGAAAUGCAUCUGUGAUCUUUUCUCAGUAGUAGAAUGUUAAGUAGGGUAAAAUUUCCCUUACAUUGUCCACCAACUGAGGAGAGCUUUGUUGAAGUUAAAUAUAGAGGGAGAACAGCAGAAUGAUAAAGAAGACUUUGCAGAGAACUCUGGCCAUCAAUGAUCAAUUGAUGACUACUAUUACGUUACAACCACAUAGCAGGGAGUUUAUUCUUAUUGAAAAAAGAAUACAUCUUCCAUAAAGUGCAUGCAAGUCUUCCUGAAUAUAUAAUCAGAUUGGCUGUACCCCAUUAAGAAAUAAAGACUUGCAGGAUCUGCUGACUUCAACAGCAGAGUCCAUAAAUGACAGUUAUCCUAAUCUGCCUUAAUAAGCGCCUGCAAGGAACUAAUUACAUAGUGUGAGAGAGACUUGACAAGCCUCUUAAACCUCUUCUUAGCCGCGGUCUUUAAAAUAUUUCAGUGCAGUAAAAAAUUAAACCAGCAUACAGAAGGAGCUACAAAACCAGUUGCCAAUGAUCAUGGCACAGCAGAUGUUUAUAAACUACAUUGACCAAGGUUCUCCGUCAAUCCAUUGAUGUUUAAAGCCACAUUUCAGGUUGAUCAGAACACAAAUUAACAGCUAAAUUGGCUAAAUUGGUAUUUAAAAGUGUGCAUAUUUAAUCGGCCACACCAGUGAAAAGAAACACAUGCAGAAAAAUAAAUAAAUUUUGGUCUUGGCAGUUCAGCUGUGGAGUUGGAGGAGCUUCCCAACCAGCCUACUAGGGUUGGUAUAUGCACCACAACCCCUUUACUAGGUAGCGGGGCCAAGAUGCAGCCUCUUUAAUCUUUGUGGGUACAGGGCAGGCGAGGAGCUUGAGGAGAAAGAGAAGGGGAAAUUAGAAAGAGAUACUAAUGGAAAUCGGGAGUAUAAAGGGAAGAUUAAAAAAAAACACCAUCACAUUUAUUCAAAAUCCGUUGAAAAUGCCAUCUGCCUUCAUACACUACACUCAAAUUGCAUGGACGCACACUGAUGUUACACAAAAGUACAUCCCUCACACAUGCUGGCAUUUCACAUACAUAGACCUCACAGUCACACGAACACAUGCUACAGAAAAACGCCCCGCGUGUAAACGCUGACGCUCUAUAUAAAUACCACAUUCACACGUUGAGAUGCCAUGGAAAGAUAUCUUCGCAUUUACAUGGUUAUGUUGCACAGAAAUACUCCACUCCUUUCACACACUAAAUAAAUAUGUUUUACUUUUAGAUUAUUUGUGUUUUUUUCUCAAUGCAAUACUAAAUUAAAAUCAGGGUGAACUUAAGUGUGGCCAUGUUCUAAUUUUUCCUUGGGGCCCAGACUAUGCUCAGGCUCCCCCUGCAAUUAAACUAUUUGGAUUAGAGCACUAUGGGGCUAGAGCUAAUAUGAUCAGGGAAUGCAGGUUUGAGGGCACUUUCUUUCUGCUUAUUGAGCAGAGCCCUCAACCCCUCUGUUCCUGUCCACUUGUCUGGUUACAAUUACGUGUCUGUUAGUCCACCCAUUGUACAGCUCUACGGAAUGUGCUGGUGCUAUAUAAAUAAUAAAAUAAUAAUAAUUGGGUUUGGUGGAUGAGGGAAAUUUUUAUGAAGGGGGUAGGUGGCUAUGAGUCUCGAGGUGAUAGGAAAAAAAGGAUUAUGAGGGAUCAGGUUAUUAGAGAUGGGGUUUAAGGACCAUCAUAUGUGGGUUCUUUGGAGCUAGGAUAAUGUGAUUGAUUGGGAUUUUGAAGGCAGGUCUCAUUAGGGGAUUAUGAGGCUGGAGUGUGAAGGGAUUAUAGGUCCACAUCUUUAUGUUUUGCCUUUGAGGCCAUAUUCGCAUGGAAGAAUUAAACAUGCAAAUUUUAUAUUUAACACGCUAGUUACAGUACGUUGAAACAAUGUUAAAGAGAACAAGUACAACAACUACCACAGACAUAUCAAAUUUCGGUUUGAGUUUAAAGGCAUUACGCUGGAAAACCGUUUCUUCUGGAGCUGUGAAGUCACGCAUUUUUAUUUAACCGUCGGUCUUCCAAGCAAAUAAUUUUUAGGAGAAAUACAUGUAUCAGUAAUUUUUUACCUUUCACUGCUUUGGCCACAUACCAAUUAAUUUACCUCUUAGAAUCUUUCAUUUAAAUAGCUAGCUGUUCACUAAAGGCAAGUGGCUAAAAAUGUUGCUACAAAUUUAUACCAUAGGCAUUCCUGAGUGGGGCUUUCAGUGCUGAAGCUCUGGUUGUGAUCUCUACAGUUGGUGAACUGGGAUUAGGGGAUAUUAGUGCUUUUUGUCAUUUCUAAGUUCUAUUAUUGAAACAAUGGAUAGAAGUAUAGUGCUUACCCAGAAUACUUGUGAAGAGGUGGUUGAGCCCCCCAGAGGACUGUUGGGAGCAGCUGCUCAGGAAGAGAAUUUUGCUGCAUCCCCUCUAUUAGCUAGGUAGUAUGGUGGGAUCACAUCGAAUACCUGGCUGUGCAUUCAUUGGAUCCUGUAGAGCCCAACCUGCAUGCUCUUCAUGGGUAAAAAUAAGGGCACACAACAUAGAAAGGCAGGGCCAUGUCAUGACAUAUCUCCACCUCUCUGUAGAAAUCAUCAACCUUUUUGGGGGGGUUCAAGCCCCUGAUGUUUUUGGAACCUAGAAUCACCUAUAGUUUAUACUAUGCCCCUUGGUUAAAAUCAAGAACACCUAGAAAAAUUAGCCAGUUAAGUAUUUCAAUUUAAAAUGAAACAAGAUUAGAAUUGCGUAGAUUGUGCAUGAAGAUGCCUUUUCUCAUUAGUCAUGACAAGUGCUGGUUGAUGGGAAAUGGCAAAGUACACCAAGCAGAACCUCGUUAAGGCUCUGCCUUUUUCCAUAGUUACGAUAAUAGGACAGUGUGUCAUCUUUUGAUUCCGAUAGAAUUUCAGGGAAAUUCAAAAUAGUAUAUAAUCAUUUCAUAAUACACAAGUAUGUCCCGUUGAGGCCCCUACGCUCUGCCAAAGACCUUCUCCAGGGCUGCACCUCCUCUGUGGAACUCCCUUCCCUUCUCCGUAAGACUUUCAACCAGUCUCCACUCAUUCAAAAAAUCAUUGAAAACUCACUUCUUCAAGAAAGCACAUCAAUUAAACUGUUAGCAGGUUUUUAUUUCCCACACCCCAUGACCCCUCUCCUGCAACUGUCUAAAUUACCUACUAAGCCCUCAGUGAAAACUUUUCUAACAACCUACUUCAUACCCCUACUUUUACCCUUUGUGUCACUAUACCCCACUCCCUCUAGAAUGUAAGAUCAUUGAGCAGGGCCCUCCCCUUCUCUGUUCCUGUAUGUCCAAUUGUCUGGUUACAUUUACAUAUCUGUUAGUCCACCCAUUAUACAGCGCUAUGGAAUAGGAUGGCGCUAUAUAAAUAACAAAAUAAUAAUAAUAAUAAUGAUUGUAUCUUUAAGAAGAACUUACAAGUGACAUUGCCUCUUUAAAUUUAGGAAUUUCUUUAAUUAUAAAAAAAAAUAUCAAAACUUUGUUUGCUCCCACCCCCGCCCCCCCCCCCAUUGAACACCAAAUAAAUCUGGCAUAUUUUCCAUCUGGCAAAAGCAAUAACCAAAUUAUUAUUCUGUCAUGGCUUUUUAACAGCCGUAAAGUGAUUGGAUGGGAACUAAAUGAUGCAAUUUAUUCUCUCCUCUUUGCCAGCUUGCCUGUAACAGGAAGGCUGCCAGCUAUAACAAAGUGGUACCCAGAUGGUAAUCACAUGACGCCCACUUGGUUGCGGUGCCCAAACCGGGAAUUACUCAGCAGCCGCUACAAGGUGUGGGUCAAUUGAGGAGGGGAUCGCCUGUUGCUUCACAGUUUUGCAUAUGUAAAUCUCUUACUAUCAUGCCAGGUCUGUGCAGUCUUAGGAUUGCCUUUCUCCUGGGCCCAGAUGAUUCUGGAGUUGGGCCAAGUUAACAAGGAUCUAAGAGGGAAGAUUUUUUUUUCUCUUUCUUAUAGAACGCGGUCACAGUUUGCUGCCUCUGUGUGAACUCUCUCUCUUUCCUGGAUGUGCUCAUUUUCUCCACAGCUGAAGCUGCUUUCAGGAAAUUUCUAUGAUAGGCUGACUCUGUAAUAGGAUAGACAAUAAGGCUUUUUUAAGUGCUGGAGAGAGAGCAGAGCCUGCUUAAGUGUGUGCCUGUGUCUAUUUUUAGUCAAGGACUGAAGACAAUUCACUUGGCCCAAGCUGCGUCUCUGUCUAUCCCUCGCUCACACUUUCUUUCCCCUCGUUGUCUGCCACACUUCUACACUCUGUUUCAUCAGCUACAGAUGUGGCAUGCAGCCGUUCGUUGAGGAGUCAUGAACUGUAGCGUCUGCAGAAUUUAACAGCCAACAUCUGGUGAAGCAGCGCAACCGAUGGAAACAAUUUUUAUUUAAGAAGCUUGAUAAAGAGGCACAGGCUGCAGUAUCUCUCCCUCGCCCUUUUUCUUUUUGUUUAGCCUUGGAAGCACAGUCUAGAUCAGACUACUAGCACUCAGAAAACAAUUGUUGGAAUCUUGUGUGUUAAAUCUUAGCUGAAGAGCCAAGCUUUGUUAGUAAAACUCUACACACAUGUAUUUGCCUGGCCUCAAGUUUAUUAAAGUUGUAAAAAUAUUUGUUUAUUUUUCUAUUUCUGUUUUUUUUUCUCUGCCACUUUAAUGUUUUGAAUCUGAUUGCAUUGAAAUACCCAAGAUAAGACAAUACGGGAAAAAUCAUUACAAGAAAGAGACAAUGUUUGGCAAAAUUUGGUGCUGCAAGCCUCUUCACUGCCAUAUCUUUCCAUUUGCCAUCAGGCAUAGAGCAAUGGCUACUGGCUAAUAUUCUUACUACCUUGCCUGCAACAUAUUCUAUCUCGCAGGGGUAGGCACCCUUCAGCACUGAAUAUGUUGUGGACUACAUCUCCCAUAAUGCAUCAGGGGAGUUGUAGUCCACAACACCUGGAUUGCCAAAGGUAGCCUACUCCUGAUCUACAAAGUAUAUAGUAUUCCUUCCAUUCCAUUAGCUAUCCAUUUUUCCUCUGGCUUUUGGUGGCACAAAGGAGAGAGAGGUUUAUAAACCUUUGCUCUUUCCUCAGUGUUGCAGCUAGAGAAGUUGACAUUUCACCUUUGAGUGAUUUUUGGAAAAAUGCAAAGACCCUACAAGUGACAUUUCCUCUAUAAAGCUACGUCCCAUCAAACAGUGAUUUCAAACACACCACUAUCAGCUCAAAUAUAAGAUGAAACAUAUUUGAUGGUUGGUGACUUAAAAUAAUAUAUGGCUUGAGUCACCUUCAUGCUGUAAAAAUAAAACAGUUUUAAUUCAGCUAUCUUUUUUUACAUUUUUUAUUUUUUAUUUUUAUUUCAGACUUGUACCAGUCCUGCAUACGCUUUGUAUUACUUGUGUGAAGUGGGCUUUGGUGCAAUGUCAUCAUCAAUAUAUUGCUGGAUUGUUAAUCUACCCAUCCCUUCCACCUGGGUCCCCCCCUAGUUCUAUCUAUUCCUUAAUGUAGGUUUCUUGCCUGUACCCUGCACAUUUAAUCCUGGAGAGUACGAGAGCCUCUUGUAUGGUUUCUAUGUUUUGAUAUUCUAUUUGUCUGUCUGCCUGGUUCAGGGUUGUAUUACCCCUUUCUUUCUUUUUUUUUUCCCUUCACCUCCUCUCCCUUCCUCUGAUCUUUUGUGGCUCCUUGGUAGAGGGCAAAGUCAGGAAGGAAGAAUCUAAACGAGAAGAGUCAGGUCACUAUGUGGAACACCGAAGGCCUAGCAAAUCAUCCAGUCUAUUUAUCCAUGUAUCCCAGUCCUCUAUUUGUUUAUAUCUGUUUCCCAAGUUUACUAGUAUACCUCUUUCCAUUCUUGCUUGCCAUGUUACUUGUUUUAUUCAUUCGUUGAUAUUUGGAAUUGUCUCUGUUUUCCAAUUUCUUGCAAGAAGUAAUUAGGCUGCCAUAAUUAAAUGUAAUGACACCAUUAAUGGUUUUUUGUCAUUUCUGGACAGUGCAAGUUUAGUAAAACCACUUCAGGCUUACAGGGUAGUUUUAUUUCCGUUAUUUGAUAUAUUAUCUUGUUUACUUAUUUCCAAAAUGUAUUUAUGGGUGUGCACUGCCACCAACUAUGGGUCAUAUUACCUUCAGCAGUAUUGCAUUUCCAGCAUCUGUCUGGGAGUUCUUUAGGUGUUUGGGUGUUAAAUACCAUCUAUUUGAUAGUUUAAACUGGGUUUCUAAAAGAUUUAGGCAGUGUAUAUUUUUAUUCAACUUAUUUAGGGAUUUUAUCCAUUGUUCUUGUUCUACAGGUACAUGUAGUUCUUUUACCCAUUUAUUAAUCAAUGCUAUUGGUUUGUCAUGUCUCCAUCUAUAUACAACUUUAGCACAUUUUGCCAUUAGGUUUUUAUAGUUCUUUAAUUCAAAUAAUUGUAUAAGAGUUAUGGUAUCCUCCUCCUUAUUCUUAAAGAGGUGUUACUAGAAAGCUUUUAAUACGCAGAUAGUUGAACAUUUCACUGGGGGGAAUGUUAAAGUCCUUCAUAAUUUGGUUGAAAGGUUUAAUGUUGUAUUCCUCCAUUAUGUCUUUAAAUUCCUUUACCCCUUUUAGCAUCCAUAAGUCUGUUUUUAUAUUUUCUAACAUAUCUGAGAUACUUGCGAAAAGGAGCGUAUCAAUUAUUUUGUUUCUAAAGCCUUUCUUGUUUGUAUGUGUAUCCCACCAUCUCGUUAGCUCUUUAAGUAUCUGAGAUUUGCUUUGUGCCUCUCUAAUAAUUUUUUAGCAGUUUUAACAGUUUUAGCUUUUUCCAUUUUAUACCAUAUUUCUUGAGUAGCCGCCUUGCUUUGUGUGAGCAUUAUAUGAAAUAGUCUGCUGUCCUGAUAACAUUUUAAAACUUCUGGGAACCCCAAGCCUCCAUCCUGUCUUGAUCUGGCCAAUACUUUCAUUUUGACUCUUGGUUUCCUGCCCCCCAAAUAAAUUUAACAAAAUGAGAGUGUAACAGAGACAGCCAGUUUUCUGGGAAAUUAAUUGGAAUCAUUCUGCAAAGGUACAACCAUUUUUGCAGGAUAAAUGCUUUUAAGAUGUUAAUCCUACCCGAACAUGAGAAACCCAUGCCUUUCCAAUACCUUAAAUUUCUGUUAGUUUGCUUUAGUAGGGGUAGAAAGUUAAGUUCUAUUAAAUCUUUUGAUUCUGAAGUUAUGUUGAUACCCAGAUAUUUUAGUCUGUCGCUGUUUUUGGGUAGCCCCGUGUUCUGUACAAGCAGUUUAAUAGUCCUUUUAUUCAUAUUUUUAGCUAUAAAUGUUGAUUUUUCCAGAUUUAUUUUAUGGGGGACGAAAUGCGUUGACUAACGUACACACUUUUAUCGGCUGUUUUUUAUCUUCAUUCCAUCUGACUCUUUGGUGCCUAAAGUCUCCCUACUGAUUGCUGACCACGAUAUUUUGACGAGGGAUAUCUAUUACGGGCAACUUUCAUCUGCAUAUAUAUCUCUCUACAUCCCUGGGCUUCCAUCAUCGAGGCUAUACUGCAGUCUUUUUUGAAGAUCCCGACUGCGGUAUCAGGGCGUAGGUUUACUCAGGAUAGGUUCACCUGUUUGUAUUUAUCCGUAUUGCUGCCUUCCAUUACCAGUUCAUUCAAGUGGCGUGUGAAUACUUUGGUUACCUCUUUAUUGGAUUUAUAAUUUUUUUUACCUCUUGUGGGGGCCCACACCGAGGUCAGGUACACUUUAUAUGCAUAUAUAUUUUUUAUCCAUUUCUUAUGUUGUUUAUCUAGAUGGUUACUAGCUCUGUUUUGUAUACAGUGAGCAUAACCUCUCUGUCAUAAUUACCGGUGUCUAUUUCCCCAUAUAAAUGUGUUUCUGAUAUAUUCGUAACUGAUUGUAACAUUCAUUUAUUUCUUUGUUGGGAUGCUGCACAAAGUUUCCAUUUCAGAUAUAUAUUGUUGCAAUAUUCCUGAUUUGAAAUACUGCAUCAGUUUACUGAGUCCACUUUAGCACACUGUCGAGCAUCUCAGUUUAGGUUGAUAAGAAAUGGUGGCUUUAUUACUGAAGAUUUGAAACAGCCUGAUAUUAUUGCCCGAUAUUAUAUUAUUAUCCACACAAAGUGUGGAUACUUUGGCUACCUCUUUAUUGGAUUUAUUAUUUUUUUUUACCUCUGGCGGUAUCAAUUUUGCUUAUGGGUUUUGCCGGUGUCUGAGUUUGGGUCGUCGGUAUACUCGCAAUGGGGGUGGUUUCUUAUGCUUGUCCAUUUGUUGAUGGUACAUUAGUUAUUCAUGUCUGACCUUUUUGUCUCGUCCACCUCUCCCUCCCAGUCCCUCCAGCUCAUAUCAAAUUCAAGGUUUUUUUGUGGAGAUAGUAUCGCCAUUCUUUCGUAUAUUUUGUACUGGGUGAGUUUGGUUUGGAGUUGAGCUAAGGAAAGGCAGAUCUGAGAUUUGGUCCCAUUUUUUUAUAUUAAAAUUUUGUGAUGUUAAACCUGACCCUGUUAUCUUGGCUGAUGGAGAGCUGUAGAAAGCAGACACGGCUUGUAGGAUUGAUCCAGUAAUUUCAAAGCAGUUUAAAGGGGCGAACAUGAAACCCCAUCCAACCCUGUCAAACGCUUUCUCUGCAUCUAUUGACAGAAGUAUUAAAGGGGUUCCACUGCUCUCUGCUUCCUCCAUUAUGUUUAUUAUUUUUCUAAGGUUGUUAACUGAGGACCUCCAUGGUAUAAAUACGACUUGAUCAUUAUUAAGUUGUGGUAUUACUGUUUUUAAUCUAUCAACUAUAAUGGAAGAUAGUAUUUUAAUAUCUGUAUUAAUUCAUGUUAUGGGCCUAUAAUUACCUAUAUUUACUAGGUCUUUGUCUGCUUUUGGGAUAGGCACAAUGUUUGCCCUCAACAGCUCUCCAGGACAGUCUCCUGUUUCCUUAAUUCAGCUAUCUUAGCAAAUACAUUUCAGGAUUUGGUUUCCCCAAUAUAUAGCAUGUUUAGGCUUACCUCUGCUUCAAAGUAACCCCAAUUAAUGGCGAGUCUUACAUUCAUGUUAACAUGUGUAGUAACCAUGCUAUCUGCUAAACUUUCUGCUUAAACGCUUACAGAGUCUCUAAUCAAAUGUAAGCUUUUCUGUAGUCACUUUUAGUGAGGGACAUGGUGAUUUACCCAAAGGUAUGAGCACACCACAUUUACACUGCCUUUAGGAGUGACCAGAGGAAAAUCAUAAUAUUGAGCAGUCUCUUUAAGCAAUUUGUGUUUUUGUAAGCACGUUUAUCUCCCAUGUUAAAGGACAACUGUCACCUUAAAAAAUAUUUUUUAAUGCCAUAAUACUUUCAUCGAGUAUUGAGAGGAAAUAGAUUUCUUUUUAAAUUAAGUAUAUGUGAACAAAUGAGAAACUCAUUUCUUUCAGUCGUAUCCGUGCACUUUGGGUCAGACAGUGUCUGUGGUCUUCCCUGCUUCUGUAAGGAGUGAAGCAGAGAAGAUAAGUAAGACACACUAGUAGGACUUACUAGUAUUGGGUAUAUUGAAGCAGUGGAGGCCUUACACAUGGUACGGCCAUGCGGUGUGACUAAACCCCCAUUUUUAUUUGCUAAGAGAGGUCAUUGUAAAAAGCCUUGUAAGAUUUAAAACUGUAUUUUUCUUUGUGUGCUUUUCCCUUAAUGUGUAUUUUGUACACAUUUCGGUCUGUACAGCAGCACCACUGUUGAGAAAUGUAUAUUUUGGCUCAAGGGCAUAGCAAUGUCACGAGGCGCCUGUGGACCAGUCAUUUAUGAAUGAAAAAAUUAAGUAGUCCACUUUUCUCUCUCCCUCUGUCUUAGUCACCACUUUUCUCCAUCCUAGUCACCACUUUUCUUUAUCCUAGUCCUAACUUUUCUACUUUUCUCUCUCCUUCUAUUCCAGCCUUCUUUUAUUUCAACCCCUAGGUAUAUCAUUUUCUGUCCCAUCCCCUUCCUCCAUUUUUAUUGUCCUGCUUAGUGUGGCUAGCUGGGAUGCAGCUUCUCUCUCACCCUCCUCAUAGCAGAUAAUGCUGCCGUUCCACGUGGUUCUCUCUCAGUGUAUGCUGGAGCGGGGUUAUGAUGUAACAUCCUGCCCCAGCCUCCAUCCACACACACACAACACUUACACAAAACAUUGUUUCCUAAAAAGGGACUAUUUGCAGGCAGCAGCAAUACUGCAGAGAGACUGUUUUGAUUGCGUACAUGUUUGGGCAGCGCCAUCUUUACCUACUGUUCCCAUAUGUCAUUCUUGUUUUGUUAGAAUUAACUGUUGGGAUUGUUUACUAUUGGACAGCGCCGCAGAAUGUGUUGGUGCUAUUUAAAUAAUUGAAAUUUAGAGUACUAUGCAGCAGCUCUCUGAUUCUGGUGGGGGAGGUUGGCCUGGUUGGGCCUGUGGCGCUGUAUCAGACUGGCACCAUUGUGCUUUAAAUGUGACCCACAAUUAAAUGUUUUCUUCUGGAUUUGGGUCAGUUGGGAGGAAUGAUGGUGCACCCUAUACUAAAUGCAUCUCACAAGCGCAGUGUGCAUCAAAAACAUUCCAUUCCAUGUUGGUGUUCUUUGCUGUUGAGCCGUCUAACUACUGACAUAUAGUUCAAGGACUUCUCAAUAUAGAAGGUCAAAGUAAUCAACAUCUUUUUUGUGUUAUUAGUAAAACGUUACAUGUUAAUAAAAAAGAUGUUUGUCCAAUGCAAGGUUUUCUUGUCAGUGCUCUCUCUCCGUGUUAAAAGUAAUUUUUUCUUUAAAUAGGUCAAUAUAAAAUAUAAUAGUCUCAUCUGUGUCCUAUUCACCUUGAUCUUUUCUCAAGUGACCUUGAAAGCAUUCAGCCAGUGACACAUUCACAUGAAACAAUAAUCACAAUAUUAACAAUAAUGUUAUCACUCAUCAGUAUUAGUCCCAUUCAGUGAAGAGGUGAACAGAAUUAAGAGAGGGAUGUGAUUGGAAUCUGUCAGCGUACAAGAACCAGAGAGUUUUGUGAAGUCUUUAUUAUUUUUGACAUUGCACCGGUAGAAAUCUAAACUGGAAAUAACUGCCGGACACAACAGAGAUUCUUAUCAGACUGGCUGAACCACAUAACAGCUCAUUGUUGUUAUUUUUGAUUACCCGGUGGUGAAGUCACGCUGGCUUGAGUCUUUAUAGUUCACCACUACAAAAAAAGAUUAGAUAAUGUUGGUAUUUGGAUAGAAACAUCUCAAGUAAAACUUCAAACACACAUUUGCAGUCAGUCUGGAACUUCUAAUCCACAGAUUUAGAAAUCAACAGAUAUAUAACCCAUUGUAUAGCGCUACGGAAUUUGCUGGCGUUAUAUAAAUAAUAAUAAUAAUAAUAUAUUUUUUUUUUGUUUAACAGUCAUGCACAAUUAAAGUAUCCGUGUGCAAAAGACAUUAACAAAUAAGUGAACAAGAAUUACUUAAAUGUAACUGCGUUCUGUGUUAUCUUUGGGAAGUCUUAUCUUGUGAUCUGUGCCUGCUUCCUCUGCUAAAAAAUAAAUUUUAUAACUUCUUUUCAUUUUAUUACGUUUAUUUUUUAAUAAACGUAAUAAAGACCAGUGUUUAAAGGGUUAAUCCAACACAGAACAGUAUAUUAAUAAAGCACUGUUUAUGUUUGUUUUAACCCUUUCUGGAAUGGUCCCUCACUUUAGAAAAACGUAAAAAAAAAAAAAAGAAACAGGAAAUAAAGCUAAAAAUUAAUGGAGGACUGUGUCUGUUGCCAACAUGCUUUGUGUGCUGAGGACACGUCAAAUAUGCACAGAAUUGAGAAAAGGCUGAAGCUUUCAUAAUGGUGAAGUUACUCCUCCAACAGCAAAGGGUUUGAACUCUGUGUGUACAGCGUUUCAACCCGAAAGACUGCACAUUCAGACACCAAUCACCAUGCCCACUUCAAGUUACUGAAGUAGUCAUGGUUCUUGGAAUAACCCUUUAACUAUUGUUUGAGCUGUUAGCUAAAUUUGAGGUACAUUUACAAAGCUAGCUUAGAAUUCCUCGUUAAUUAUUUAUGUGACGGACCCUGUGGUCACCAAAUCCAGGUACAUGUAUCUCCAACUCUCACCCUCUCUAAAAAGACUAUUAUCACUAUGGGCUGACCCUCCAUUCCGUGUCUCCCGACCCAACCGUACUUAAUCGCAGUCCCAGAAUCACCCUUUACCGGCCAGAGAACCACUGAGACACGGUGCGCCUGACCGGGAGUAACUCUGAACCCUUCUGGAACUCUCAGUCCCUGGACCAGCAAACAUGGUGCUUUUAAGAGGGUUAACAGAGGAGGUGGUGAGGCAUCAAAUGACACCAAGGACUUGGGUAGCUCCAUGUACCCACAGACAGUGCUGUGUGUUUAGGUGACUGGGGAUUUCUACCCAGCACUCUGGAACCCUGGCCGGAUCUUUUUGGACAAAAUGGGCGCUCCAUAGAGAUCUUUCCAGGGAUGUAUGUCAUGAGGGGGUGCUUCAAUAUAUUAUAUUAUCUUGUGUUUUCAGGGGUUUUAAGUAUUCAGCUUUCUGUGUCCGGGAGAUAAUUAGUUUAACCGAGAGCUGACUCUUUUAUCUCCCAGACACAGAUGCGCCUGGGUGGGCUUGUGUUAUUCUGAAUGGAGAACCCAUGCUGAGUGUCUGUGUGUAAAUUUGUGUACUGUGAGCCAAUAAAACAGUUCUUUUUCACCAUUCAAUGUUUGGGUUAGACACCGGUACUUUGCAGAGGAGGGACAACCUAGCCGGUAGUAACCAAUUUUCGCAAGGGUAUACCACCACAAUUUAUACCAAUAAGCACUGUAACUACAAGAUAACAAAUACUCUAUGCGAUACCUAAAAUGUCUGUUCAGAACUACCGAAAAAAAACACACCCCCAUAUUAAAACUUAAUAGGCUAAUUAUACACUUGUCACCUAUUAAGAACAUCAAUUCACUUGGUUGCCUAUAAGCUUAAAGCUGUGAUAUAAUUCAAAAGCCAGUGAAAGUUUAGUAACGGCUUAUCAAGACUAAAGUAAUAUUCCAAGCACCAUAACUACUUUGCACCAGUGUAGUGGUACCAAGCGUGCCCAGGCGCCAUGACAAAGUUAGUAGACAAACUAUUUAAGAACAUUUUGACAACUUACCUGAGGUCUGCAGGGUGCCCGCGCCUGCUCUGGAGCUGGGAUCAUUCAAGGAACUUGAGCUGAGCUCUGUAUUUCAGAGCCGGCUCAUUGGCUGAGUGCAUCAUUGGCCAGCUCAUUGGCUGAGUGCGUCAUUGGCCAGCUCAUUGGCUGAGUGCAUCAUUGGCCAGCUCAUUGGCUAGGUGCGUAAUUGGCCAGCUCAUUGGCUGAGUGCGUAAUUGGCCAGCUCAUUGGCUGAGUGCAUCAUUGGCUAGCUCAUUGACUGCAUGGUCUGUUCUUAACUUACUGGAGGAGCUUUGUGCUAUCACAAGGAGUUCAUUUUCUUUAAAGAUUAAUAAUGCAGCAAUGUGUCAGUGUUAUAUAUUUAAAAUUUUUAUUUAAACUACAGUGGGACCUUGGUCGACAAACGCCUUGGUUAGCAUAAUUUUCAGUUUACAAAUGAAACUCCAUUGAAAAUAAUGCCUCGGUUUGCAAACUUUUUUCACAAUACAAAGCAAGUUUCUCCAGGGUGUAUUGCACCUAGGAGGUUUAUAGCACCGCCCCCUGCAUGCUGGAGCCUGCGAGUAGCACGUGGCAUAGAGGGUGAAGGUGUUGGAGCGGCUUUUGCAUCGAGUUUUGGAGCCAUUCUGGAAAUUGUUUGCCGUUGUUUUGGGACUUUUUGGUGCAUUUCUCAAGCUGUGGAAAGGUAGGGAGCUGAGCUUCGUCGUUUGCUUGCCUUUUAUUGUGUGUUCUUCAUUGUGGGUUGGUUUCCAUGCCAGCUCAUUUUGACUUUUUUUCUGACCCCAAGGACGGAUUAAUUGGUUUUCAAUGCAUUCCUAUGGGAAACUGCGUUUUGGUUUACAAAUGUUUCGCAAUAAGAAACAUCCUGGGGAACGCAUUAAAUUCGUAAACCGAGGUCCCACUGUAUUUUAUCUUUGACAUGAUAAAUCGUUAAGUGUUUUAAGAAAAUUUUCCUGUUUAUAAAUGAGAAUCAACAAGAAUUUUAUUUAAAAUAUCACCUUCUUAUUUUUAAAUGUCCAUUUGCCAAUAGCCAGGUUUUCCCUUGCAGACAGUGUGUGCCAUCAGUUAGACUCCUUCCCAUGCUAUCUUAUAUACCGCACCCAUAGCUGUUAGGUUGUAAUUGCACUGAAUUUGCAAAUUAAAUAGAGGUUUUUAUUGCGGUGAAAAGGGAACUGGAGAUGGAAGACAUGUUAUGACUUGAAAGACUGGAUGUGAAGUACAUGAUGUCUCAGGUUAAAAGUAGACUUCUGUAGCCCAAUAUCUUACACUCACCCACUAGUCAAGACCUUGCCUACAUUAAAGGGGGAAAAAAACCAUUUCUGUGGUGUUUGCACUAUUGAAUAAAACAUUAAAAAUCAACUAUAACUUGUGUUAACGUCUUUACAUGAGAUGGCCUAUUUUCUUUUAAAUUUACAUGAAAUAUUUAGCAAAUUACAUCACAAUCCAGUUCAGAAAAGGCAAGAUCAAGGAAAACAUGAGCAGGAGAAAUAGAAACGGUAUUCUCAUCAUGUCCCGGUAAACUUUCUCUGUACUGACCGUCUGUUGCAAAGGACAAAGUUUAUAACAUUGAUUAUAACAAGUGCAUCACUUUAACACCAUGCUUCUUAAGGACGGUUGCCUGGUGUCCACAGGUGCGGAAAAUAAUUAGAUUGGAUAAAAUCAUCCUAUUUCAUUAUGGAGGCGGAACAAGGCGGAGAAGGGGGCCGGGGACCUAAAUAGCCAUUUUACCACUAUAGUGUCAGGAAUACAUGUUUGUUUUCCUGACACUAUAGCGUUCCUUUAAGUUAUUUGUUUUCAGACUAAAUAAACAAAAAAACUAAAGUCUACGUUGAUUUUACCAUUUGUCCAAAAACGAAUGCACAUGUCUAUUCGCAGCCUCAAUUAUACAAAGAGUAACGUUUAAGUAUUGAUUAAUAAGAGAUAUAUUUUACUCAAAGUAAUUAAAGGACCACUCUAGGCACCCAGACCACUUCAGCUUAAUGAAGUGGUCUGGGUGCCAGGUCCAGCUAGGCUUAACCCAUUCUUUUAUAAACAUAGCAGUUUCAGAGAAACUGCUAUGUUUAUGAAUGGGUUAAGCUUCCCCUAAUCCUCUAGUGGCUGUCUCAUUGACACGAGGCGCUUGCGUGCUUCUCACCGUGAUUUUCACAGUGAGAGCACGCCAGCGUCCAUAGGAAAGCAUUAUGAAUGCUUUCCUAUGUGACCGGCUGAAUGCGCGCGCAUCUUUUGCCGCGCGUGCGCAUUCAGCCGACGGGGAGGAGAAGAGGAGGAUUGGAGGAGGAGAGCUCUCCGCCCAGCGCUGGAAAAAGGAAAGUUUUAACCCCUUUCCCCUUUCCAGAGCCGGGCGAGAGGGGGACCCUGAGGGUGGGGGCACCCUCAGGGCACUAUAGUGCCAGGAAAACGAGUAUGUUUUCCUGGCACUAUAGUGGUCCUUUAACACUCUAUAGCAGGGAUAGCCAAUAGAUUAGAUAACAUGAAACUACAACUCCCAUGAUGUUCUGCCAGCCUGACGGACUAUGGGAAUGUUAGUCUUUAAACAACCCAGGGGUCUACCUUUUAGCCAACCUAGCUCAUUACUGUCUGUAUGAGGAAUACCACCCAAUAACAAAGGUAUAUUUGUUACCAUUAUUGCUCCUACAAAUUAUUUCCAGGAUGUAUUCACUGAGCAGUUCAACAAAUCAGUUGUGAUACGCUAACGAAAGACAGGAAAAAUAUAGACCAAAAUACUCAAUUUGAAACAAAGCUGUGCAAAUUCUUUGAGUAGCAGGGUUUUUUUCACUAAUGGGGGAGUUCAAAGUGAAUUUUUAGUAUGAGGCCUAAGUAGACGAACUGGAACCAAUUCUCUAAGUCAGCUAUAGUUUUCGUUCAGCUACUCUGGCCUUAAAUGUGAAUAACCCUGUAAAUCUAUCAUGGACGUUGGCAGCAAGGGUUAGUGUGAAAAAAAACCAUUGUUUCUCGUCAGACGUCAGGGUGUGGUUUUUAUAACAAGUCCUGUCUUAACAGUUUCAGCGCUGGACACGUUAGUAGAAGUACAACUUUCUAGAGCAAAAAAAUUAUAAUUAUGAGCUAUGGCAGUGUCUUAUUUUUUAAUUAAAUUAUUUUAAUUACUGUGACGCAAUGCUCGCUUGUUUUGUUUUUAUUGUUGUUUUCUUUUUAAUUUAUUCUCUCCCUGUGUUCCCAACUCCCAAGAUGUUUCGUCUAGGUAACGCCUUGCCUUUCUGAGGAGACAGGAAUAUAUAGAAUUUAUUUUCCUCCUCCCGCAGAACAAUAGGAAAUGUUCUUUACUGUUACACCUAUUUUUAUAUCUGUACCGAGUUAGAAAAUGUUGCUGUAAGCAAAAAGGGCAACUCCCUUUCUAUUAUUUUUUCAUCUUAAUUUUAUUUUCUGUCCUGCAUACUUUAUUUGCCAGCACGCACACUUGUAAGACUUGUAUAAGGAGCGCUGAAUAAGCUUCCAAGUGCACACCCUUUCCUGCAAUUUUUUCCAGACAAUUUUUUUUUCUCUCUCCAAGCAGUCCAAAUGUAUGUGCCAACAGAAAGGGAAUUAAUAUCAGUGGGAAUUCAACAUAAAUAUAGACUUUCAGACUUUCUGUUAACAUGUCAAAAAACAACAACUUCCGCCCAUAACUAUAUUAUUAAUUUAACGUGUGCAUCGUUUGUAUUAAAAUUUAUAGAUUAUUUUAAGUGCUCAUUCACUAAACAGCAAUUUUAAGCAGUGUACAAACAGCAGCUCUUCAGAGACCAAAAUAACCUGAUUGGAACCAUUUCCCUAAAGAGGACUUGAUUCCAAAUUGGUUGCUUAAUAUCAGCUGUAUACUGUUGUUUUUACUAACAGCCGAUAGAUAUUUGCAACCAAAAAUACAAACUUGCACCAUUUUACCUUCAGGCCCAUGUUUGGCUAAUGUCCACCCAAACUCAUUUACCUUUUAGCGACCAAGAUAUAAAGCCCUAAAAUGUGUGGUUUCUAAGUUGGUGAUAUAGCAACCACAGUUGGACAGUAUAAUAGGAAUACAUUUCAUUAAUAUGUGAAUAUUACUGCAUUGCUAUAAAUUGUUAAAUAUAUGAAGAUACAAAGGUUUUUUCGCACUUGUAUAAUGUAGUUGACAGUUUGAAACACCCCAAACCAGAGAGAGGAAAAGAGAGAAUCAGCGCCUUCAUGUGGUCCUCAAAUCCAGGUAAUUAUGAAAUGAGAGAGAGGACAAACAAAACGAAUAUAAUGUAGUAGAUUAACAAAUGGACAUGGAGGAGAAAAGGAGGAAUUGCACUUCCUGUGUUUUGGAGCUGUAGAGUAGCUCCAGAUUCUGCACCUGGGCGGUACAUUCCCUGCCUAAGGAUAUAGACUUGAUCCAAAGGGUGUGGACCAGAAAUAUAAAAGAAACAGAAACACAAAUAUAGUGUAGUACGUCAGGGAUCCAAUAUAGUGGGUAAAGUAUAUGUACAGUGCACAAUCACAUUUUAUGGAGCCUUCUAAAGGCUCCUUGUGUAGUGCUUGGAGUGGAUUGAUCCCACUUUGGAAUGUGUGUGCGAUUCCCACCCUUGAAAAUGUAGCAAUUAAAAUCCUCACUGUGACAUAUGUAAAAGCAAGUAAUAAUAAAUAGUGCACACUGUGCGAUAAAUUAAAUAGAAAUAACAGGAGAUGUAGUCCCUGACUUGGAGCAAAACUUGGUUUUGAUCAACCCAAAGGUUUGGUGGGAUGUUUCCUACCAAAGAAGAGUUUCUCCAGACGUCUGGAUAACAGGAAGGUCCAAAAAUUAUUAAAAAGAUAACAAACUAACAAAUUUUACCCAUUAAAAAAGGAUUUUUCCAAGUGAAAUGGCCUAUUUUAAUUGUACUUUUAUUGUUUUUAAUAUUGCUUUUCAAAUAAAGUUUAUUCAAAUAAACCUUUGGUUUCAUUUUCAAUCAGAUGUUAAAUUGCAUUAGAAGUGUUUAUCUCUUGCUCUGUAAAUUGAACUUUAAUCACACACAGGAGCAGGAAAUUCUAAAUUAAACAGAUUGUGCAUUAAAGGAUGCUUAAACAUUAGAUCUAUAUUACAUAAAUUGUUUAAGGAGGCUGUACAAGUGACACACAGGGAGGUGUGACCAUUGUUUUUAUAAACAAUGUGAUUUAACUCCUAAAUGGCAGAGAAGUGAGCAGUGAGACUGCAGGUGCAUGGUUUAUACACCAAAACUGCUUAAUUGAGUCAGCAUCAACUUGGAAGUGACUUUAAAGGAACUUUCCACUGCCCUGGUGGGGAAAAAACACAGUUUAGCAAUUAUACCCCCAAUAAAAACAUACAGUUCACUUGUCUGAAGUCUUUGCAAGCCAUCCUCUUCUUCCCUAGCCUAUACUUUCUGUGGCUGUCCAAUCACAGACUUCGCAAUGCAGCUCAAUGAGAAGUCUUUGCAAGGCAGGUGCUCUGGGAAAUUGCUCUCUCUUGAUUUUAGCUCCACUGAGUGAAACAAACAGGAAAUAACAAGACUGGUUGUCUGAUUGACAGUUAGGGGUGUAAAAAGGUUAAUUAUUUCUGUUGAAAUCUGGACUUUUGUAAAAUAAAAAAGAGGACAUCCUUCACACACACAGCACUUCAGCAAGCACUUUAAGUGCUGCAGAAUUUAAAAUAUGCACAUUUAGAUCAAAACCUUCAAAACACAUAUAAGUUGUGUUGGUGUAUGAAAUACUUAACGAUACGGUUAAUUCUAAUAAUAUGGAAAGUGUUCAGAGCAAUUGCAAAUUUUAUAACAAGAUAGCUAAACUGGAAAAUUGUUCAACUCAGUUGUUUUUCCAGCUCAUGUACAUUGGCCUGAAAAAUAUGACCCUAGUUUUGUUAAUUUGUACUUUAUUUCCAUACAGACUGACAUGAACAAAUGUAUUAACUAGAUACCAAAUCGUUGCAAAGUAAAAAUCGAAUUUUACAUUUUAGCUAACAAUAUGGGUAUUUUAGCUUAUAUUUUGCAAUGUGCUUUGAAAUUUAAGGGACAGUAUAGGCACCCAGAUCACUUUAUCUCAUUGAGGUUUUCUAGGUUCAGUGCCCCUGUCAUUUUUUUUAAAACUGCAGUCUUUCAGACAGCCACUAGAGGCUCUUCUUGGUGCCUCAUAGAGUUUCACUCCGUGAAACAAGGUUGGAUGUCCUCACACUUUGCAAUUAAUGCUUUCCUAUGGGUUUUCAUGAGUGUGUAUGAGCGCCGAGCAUGCGCAUUUGGUCCCACCAUCACUCUCACAUAGUGAGAAGAGGAGACCUAAUCAGCACCAAGGGGUCCAUGCUGCUGGAAAGAAGUAAUUAAAAAAAGCGUUUUUAAACCUUUAUUCAUCAAACAGUGGUACAGUCAGGAACACUAUAGCGUUAGUAAUACAGGUUUGUAUUCCUAUCUCUAUAGUGUUUCUUUAAAGUUUUUCGUAAGGCAACAGAAAAUUGCAUUAGGCUUGUCAGUAAAAGCAAAAAAUUCAAGAAACCACUGUGGUACUUCCAGAUGUGGCCAAAAUAGUUAAAAACUAAAAGUUCAGUAGUGGGGAAAGUGAUGGAAACCAUGUUAAAGGAUAGGAAUGUUGAACAUCUAAAAACACAUGGAUUUCAAGAUCAGAGACAACAUGGGUUUACUUCAGGGAGAUCAUGCCAAACUAAUCUUAUUGAUUUUUUUGAUUGGGUAACUAAAGUUAUAGAUCAUGGUGGUGCAGUAGACAUUGCUUACCUAGAUUUCAGUAAGGCUUUUGACACUGUUGCACAUAGAAGGCUUAUCAAUAAACUGCAAUCUUUAAGUUUGUAUUCCAAUAUUGUUAAAUGGGUAAGGCAGUGGCUGAGCAACAGAGGGUUGUAGUUAAUGGAAUAUAUUCGAAGCUUGGACUUGUCACCAGUGGGGUACAUCAGGGAUCUGUACUUGGACCCAUUCUCUUUAAUAUUUUUAUUAGUGAUAUUGCAGAAGGUCUUGAUGGUAAGGUAUGUCUUUUUGCUGAUGAUACUUAGAUAUGUAACAGGGUUGAUGUUCCAGGAGGGAUAAGCAAAAUGGCAAAUGAUUUAGGUAAACUAGAAAAAUGGUCAGAAUUGUGGCAGCUGACAUUUAAUGUGGAUAAGUGCAAGAUAAUGCAUCUUGGACGUAAAAACCCAAGGGCAGAGUAUAGAAUAUUUGAUAGAGUCCUAACCUCAACAUAUGAGGAAAGGGAUUUAGGGGUGAUUAUUUCUGAUGACUUAAAGGUAGGCAGACAAUGUAAUAGAGCAGCAGGAAAUGCUAGCAGAAUGCUUGGUUGUAUAGGGAGAGGUAUUAGCAGUAGAAAGAGGGAAGUGCUCAUGCCAUUGUACAGAACACUGGUGAGACCUCACUUGGAGUAUUGUACACAGUACUGGAGACCGUAUCUUCAGAAGGAUAUUGAUACCUUAGAGAGAGUUCAGAGAAGGGCUACUAAACUGGUUCAUGGAUUGCGGGAUAAAACUUACCAGGAAAGGUUAAAGGAUCUUAACAUGUAUAGCUUGGAGGAAAGACGAGACAGGGGGAUAUGAUAGAAACAUUUAAAUAUAUAAAGGGAAUCAACACAGUAAAGGAGGAGACUAUAUUUAAAAGAAGAAAAACUACCACAACAAGAGGACAUAGUCUUAAAUUAGAGGGACAAAGGUUUAAAAAUAAUAUCAGGAAGUAUUACUUUACUGAGAGGGUAGUGGAUGCAUGGAAUAGCCUUCCAGCUGAAGUGGUAGAAGUUAACACAGUAAAGGAGUUUAAGCAUGCGUGGGAUAGGCAUAAGGCUAUCAUAACUAUAAGAUAAUGCCCGGGACUAAAGAAAGUGUUUAGAAAAUUGGGCAGACUAGAUGGGCAGAAUGGUUCUUAUCUAUGUUUCUAUGUAAAUAUCCUUUUCUUUUUACUGGAUAGUGAAAUGUAAUUAUUUGAAAACUGAAUUGCAAAAUCUAGGAAAAUAUUUCUAAGUUGGAAAAAUUUACCAGUUAUUAUACAUCUUUCCUUUCACCAUGAUUCACUGUUUAAUGAAUAAACCAUAAAGUCAGUCAUUUGUGAGGUUGAUAUGAACGCUAGAAUGGCUAAUAUCUACUGCAGCUCAUUGCAGUGGAUAUGGUGCAAAAAGAGAUUGUUCAAACUGUUUUCAAAUGGCUUGACAAAGUACCUGUGACAUACUCCCCUUCCCACAUGAGUUUGCCACGAGCUCCUGGAGGAUCCUGCUUGCCAGCCUUCUGCCCACGGACUAUGGGCCCUGCAGGGAAACCUGUAAAAGUCUACCCAACGUGACCGACCGUUAGCACUGAUUUCAUGGAACUGUUUUGGGCAUAGGACAAUGUGCAUGGUUGGUCAAAAUUAUGACUUCCAUGAAAAUUCCAAAACCCCUGAACCAGUCUGGGUGAUUUUUGGAUAUGUUUGUCACCCAGAUGGGGGCUAUCAGGAGAUGUAUGUGGGGUUUUUAUGUGUUUUAAAGGUAUUUUGGGGGGUUUGUAAUAUUGUAUGUUUUUCUGUGCGGGGAGAUAAUUGAGUUAGUUCAGUUCCUGACUCAAUUAUAUCUCAGAUACAGAGGAAGAGUUUAUAACUUAUAACUAGUCCCCUCUCAGGUCCAGGUGAGGGAUUAGCCUGUUUGUGGGGGAGUGUCAGGGGGGUGCUUAACUGUGUCUGAAAUUCUAUAAAUGCAGGCCAUCUGGCCAGAUUAAAGAAUUCCAGUUUGUACUCCCAGAACUAUGUGUCUGGUUGCUGAGAGGGGAAAGGGCUAAUCACUACUCUAGCUUGUUCCAGUGUGGAGGAUUCAAUGGGGAAAGUCCUUGUAAGGACUAGAACUCCCAGGACUGAGUGUCGACCAGUGCCUGGGAGUGGAUAGAGGGAGUUUCCCCAUUCAGCUCCUGGACGGAGUGGUUUCAUGACCGCAGUCAUGUCACGGCGACUGGGGGCAGGAGUGCUGAGGUUUGUCCCCGGUUCCAGCUAGGAAGCGGUCCUUGGCUGAGGUACCCAGCCGGGGUACAGGGAGCUCCAUUACAGUACUCUUUUAAGAAUAAAUAUCUCCUUGUUCAUUAGACCAGGCAAGGUUUAUUCAGUAUUCAGUCAUCCAGUUUUAGUGACCAUAUGUCUACUUAAGCCUCAUCUUUCGGUUCCUAGCUCAAAGAAGCCAUCUUCUGCCAUAAACCAUCUUCUUCAGGGUUCUACAUGUGCAUGCAUAGGUGCCCUUUUGUAUGCUACGGUUUUUAUAAGGGCUUACUUCAGUAUUUGAGACCUUUCUGCCUAUCAUCUGACCUCGUUAACAAGUCAUUUCCACAUAGGGAACUGCAACAUAAUUCAAGGGAGAGCAAGGUCUGUGGGGAAUGAUACAUUAACCUGCCCAGAUAUAUUAACUGUGGUGUGAGGGAAUUAUGGAUGUGCAUUUCACUACUCUCCUUGUGGUUAAUAGUGGACCCCAGUGAUCUCCACUUGAAUAUAACUUAAUUCCUUCUGAAGGAACAUUUGUUCUGACAUGACGAUUCAUUGUAAUUCUUAACCCCUCACAUUCUGCCUAUGAGAGAAAGGAAGAAGUAAGAAAAACCAGCGUUUAGGGUGCAACCCUUAAGAAAACUUGAACUUGAGAUCAGAGUCUGUGUACGAACUGGGGAUGGAUGCAGGUCUACGGCAGGGCAUAGGGGCCUGUUUACUUGUGUAUUAGUGAGGAUAGGUAGGUAGGAGCAGGUAUAGAGAUUUGCAAACAAGUACUAGAAUUUUCAAUAGAGUCCUAUAUCUUAGUGGGAGGCAAUGUACAGACUUAUAAAGGGGGAUGUAUGGGAGAUGUGGAUGGACAGGUAGAUAGGCCUUUCUGACGCAUUCAUUAUAGAUUGUAAAGGGACAAGGUGGGAAUGCACAAGAGAGUGCACAAGACCACUGAGAAGUGGAUUGCACAAGUCAAGGCAAGAAAGGACAGCAGCAUGGACCAGCACCAUAGCCACUUCCAACUUUAAAUAGGGCGGAUGCGCACUAUGUUUUUGAGAUGGAAGCGGCAGGAUUUGGUGAUUGACUGAACAGGAGGGGAGAUAAAAACAUUCCAGGCAGUGUAAUCUGUUGACACUUAUCCUGUCAAUACAGACCGGGAGCAGAUGAUGUAUUUCCACAAGAUAGCUGUCUGUCCUCUCACCUAUACUGGUCACUAGCAAGACCCUGACAGCUUUAGUCUAUGCGUUUCACGCACUCCAAGGGCUUUCUCUUACUAUCCAACCAAUCAAAGCACUCUAGCUGAGAUUUAAAUGUGUGUGAAUUAUUGAAGCUUGGAAGCUUAUUUUGUGUAAAGCCCUUGCUGUGUUAAGACGGAUUAAUUUUUUUUGCAAAAAUAUUUCUUAUAGUCGCAUCGGUUUUUAUGGACUUUUAUUUGAACUUUUGUGGGGCAGAAGGAAUUAAAGGGACGCUCCAGGCACCCACACCACUUAUGACCAUUGGAGUAGUCUGGGUGCCAACUCCCACUACUCUUAACCCUGCAAGUGUAAUUAUUGCAGUUUUUUUAUAAACUGCAAUAAUUAACUUGCAGGGUUAAUUCCACCUCUAGUGGCUGUGCAAUCACAGGGAGGAGCGGCACGGAGGAAGAAGCAGAGACGUGGGACAUCGGCAGUGGUCUUAGGUAAGUCACUGAAGGGGUUUUCACCCCUUCAGCAACCGUGGAUGGGUGGUGGGAGGGAGAGGGGACCUGCAGUGCCAGGAAAACAAAUUGUUUUCCUGGCAUUGGAGUUUCCCUUUAAGAAAAAACAAGACAUCUAAAGGUAAGUAUGAUUUUUUUUUACAUAUGACUUUAGAUUUUUUGGACACCCCCCUGCUCCCCACUAUUGUGGUGGGGAGCUUGGUGAUUGGUGACCCUUAACCACCUGGAGGUGGCGCUUGGCCACAGGUUUGGGUUAGAUAGACAAUGUAAGUUCAUCCCCUCUUGUCAUCAAUACUUCCCAUUUGAGGAUUUCUUUAUUUUUCAAUAGUCCCUGUCCUCAAACCAUGCUACCCCCUGUUUAUUACUUAAAGGACCACUAUAGGCACCCAGACCACUUCAGCUUAAUGAAGUGGUCUGGGUGCCAGGUCCAUCUAGAAUUAACCCUUUCUGCUGUAAACAUAGCAGUUUCAGAGAAACUGCUAUGUUUAUAAUAGGGUUAAUCCAGCCUCUAGUGGCUGUCUCAUUGACAGCCGCUAGAGGCGCUUCCACGCUUCUCACUGUGAUUUUCACAAUGAGAAGACGCCAGCGUCCAUAGGAAAGCAUUGAGAAUGCUUUCCUAUGGACUGGCUGAAUACGCAUGCGCGGGAAAGAAGGAGGAGCGUCCCCACCGCCCGGCGGCGGAAAAAAGGUAAGAUUUAAUCCCUUCCACCUCCUAGAGCCCGGCGGGAGAGGGGCCCUAAGGGUGGGGGGGACCUAGAGACCCUAUAGUGCCUGGAAAACAAGUAUGUUUUCCUGGCACUAUAAUGGUCCUUUAAUAGCCCCCAUCAGUAGUUCAUGGGUAAGGCCUUCCAUAUGUCCUCCCUUUUUUUUUAAAUUUACAAAAGCCACUGCAUGGGACCAUGGGAAUAAACAGUGACCUAUCCACCCUCCAUUAUCUAAUUGUCAGCCAGCCCUUGCUUGUAUUUUAAAUAGUGAUUGGACAUCAAUAGCUACCCUGUCACUAGUUUUUAAUUAUAGCGAGCAGCUGCUGGCUGCGCACUGUUUGGUAGACAUGCCUACACCUUCGUAAUGGCUCAUUUGACCUAAGGAAGGUAUUAGACCUCUCUUAUACAAAAUGGGGGUCAUAUUGAAGACAUAGGCUCUUUUUUAAACCAUGUUCCCUAUUGCAGCUAGUGCUGCCAAGCAAACAAAUAUUUUUAAAAAAAAGUAUUUAUCGACAACUUUAAUUGUCGAAUCCUUUAAGGCCAUAUAUCAGGCAAUGUACACAAAAUAAAUGGACUUAAAUGACCUAAGCCAAUAUUUUUAUUGUAAAGUAUAGGUAUUGUUUUUUGGAAAAUUACCAGAUAUUUAAACUGAGAAUAAUAAUAUAAUAAUAACAACUUCUGUUAAGCUUUUAGGGGCUUUAAUUGAAUUGAUCCAAACUGAUAAAGGGCUUAGCGGGAGCAAUAAACUGCUGGAAAAAAAAACUAUCAUCUCUGAUUAAAUUAAGGCCAAAGUGGGAUAAAUAGAAAAGGUGAAAAUAUAAACCUAAACAUGUUCCAGAUGUUUUUUUAUUGGUAGAGUGUCCUUAAAUUACUAAUAUUGACCUCAUUUUGUAUUUGAGCCCAUCACGUGCUAUCUAUAUGUUUCAGCUACUCUCCAUGACAUCUCCCAGCUUAGAAUUCAUUACAUGUCAAGGAUUGCAGUAGUCAAAUCUGUGGCUAAGAUUCAACUGCUUGAAAUUCAUCUUUUUUCCCACUCAGACCUAGCACCGCGUUGGACCACCAAUGACUAAGUAAGCUGAGAUGUGUUGAAUGCUGCGCUGUAGCAGACAAGCAGAUGUUGACAUAUGACUCAUCCCAGCCAGACAGAGAGGCAUGAGCCAAAAACCAAAAGCUUGUCUCCUACAUACCAUUACAUACAAUUAUCUCACCAGGCCACCCCAGAACAUUUGUUUGCAGGGAGUUCCGUGCUCACUAUACAAUGCUGAAGAGCAUAUAGAGAUUGAAGCACUUUUGACCUUUGGGAUUUUGAAUCCCUGCAUCCAUAGCCACAAAUAACUGGAGAAGAUAGCAGUUCACCUCCCCCCCCCCCACCCCUUCCCUCUUGUUUCCUCAGAUACAUAUAAUACAAUUUUCUUUGUUUUUUUGUUGUGUGUGUUUCUGAUGCACGGAUUAAAGACGCUGAUUUGUAGAAACCUUACACAAACGUAUACUUGUUUUUUAUUUUCUGUGUUUUUCAAGACCUACCACAUACCAAAUGUUCAGGAUCAUUCUGAAAUCCACAGUUUUUAUUUCUUGGAUCUUGUUAUUUUUAUUUCUAUCCUUUGCUUAUUUCAAAAGUUAAAUAAAUAUUCUGUUUCUUUUUGUGUUUGUGUUUAAAUUUGCGGUUUUGAAUGUUCUGAAAUGUUUUCAAGUUAACUACUUCAUCUUAAAAACAAAGAGAACAUUACUUGCGCUCUGGCCUAAAUCCCCAUGUACAUUUAAACAAAAUGGAGGCUCUUUAGUUUUAUUCCAAUGGCUAUUUGAAUAUAUAAGCUCACCUGCCACGUCAAGGCAAGCUUCAAUAGGCGAGUUCCUACACUAGCCAUUAGAUAUGCUGAUAUCAGCCAAGAAUCUCCAGUGAGACAGGAAGGGGUAUUUUAUAAACCCUUUCACAUUUAACCCUUUAUAGGGCUUCUACACAUACAAUAAACUUUGCUGCAACAUUGACCCGUUUGAUUGCAUGACCAGUUUUAGCUAAUGGUCAGGGCAGGGUUAACCCCUUAAGGAAACAUGACGUGUGACAUGUCAUGAUUCCCUUUUAUUCCAGAAGUUUGGUUCUUAAGGGGUUAAAUACAUGACCCACAUUUUCAUCUGCCUCAAGUGUUUGAGUCAUUCAUUUUCUCUCCUGCCAAGCAUCUUUUAAUAAACAUUAUAUAUUAGUGGUAUGGUGCCGGACCUAUUUAAUGUGGCUAUUUGGUUUGGUAGGUUUUAAGGCCAAAGGUCUUCUCAUAACCAAGGAAUUCACAUGCAAAAUUAGAAAUGAAGCUGAUCACACCGGGUUAUCCUUCAACCUGUCUGUUGACGAUACCUUUCUGUAUAUCUUGAAAUAAGUAGCUCAUCUGUGAUUCUUAACUCACAUCUGUGAGUUAAGAGCCAUCACAGUAUCUGUAGAAUAUUGUCCCCAUUGUUAAAAAGUUUGUGGUUUUAUCUGUGAUCCUUAUCAAAUACAACAAAUAAUUUGGAAUUUAGUUCCACAACUAAGAGACAGACAUCUGAUAAUAGUGGAAUAUAAAAUGACUGGCAUAUGGAUGCAGUGAGCCCACACAAGUACCAAACUGUGGUCCAUCAAAGGUGUUCCAUUUUGAAUGACUCCUGGUUGCAAAGUCGUCUGUUAAAACCUUAUUGAAAUUGUACUCUAUUGGCAUCUAGACCAUUGCAUCUCAAUAAAGUGGUCUGGGUGCCAUGUUGCACCCGUUUUAACCCUGCAGCUAAAAACAUUGCCAUUACGCAGGAAUGGCAAAUUUUCAAUUUCAAGAUUAACCUAUCUCUAGUGACUGUAAUAGUAACAAGCACUAGAAGCACGCUUAUGAAAUAGGGUAGUAAAAUGAUCUCUAUGAGACCAUCUGAUUGGUGCAGUGCAACCUUUUACUUUAAAUUGACUGAGAUAUUGUUUCAUUAAACAAACACUAUACAAUUAGGAAUAGACAUUUGUACCCCCAAUGCUUUAGUGUUCCGUUAAUGAAACUAUGAAACUUGGUACUAUGCUGUUUGAAGCAGGGUUAGCCCCUUAGACCCAAAUACCUAUGUCUCACAUUCCUGUCUUGGUGUUCCUCUGGUUUCGGUUCAUGUAAAUGGUGAAUGUUUAGGGUAUAUCAUAAAACAUUGCAGCAAAAAAACUAAUAUGAACAUGCAGGAGUGUGUGAGUGUAUUACACAGCUACAUAGUAAUAAAGUAAACUGUAAUCAGGGCAGAACCAAGGGGAGAUCACAGGGCAACUGUCCAUCCCUGAGCCUCCAUGGCCACACAGGAGGGAGAAGCAGGUACUUCAUUAUAUUUGUAUGAUUUUUAUCAAAUUCUACAAGUGGGAGAAGAAGACUAUGGACAAAGGGCUUGAAGUAAUGUAAGAGAGGUAUAGGCAGAUGGACACAGGUGGAAGAAGCAUGACUAUAGGCAGUGACAAGUGGUGGAAUUUUGUGGUAUGAGUAAAAGUAGGAGAGAGAGAUUCAUUGUGUGAUAUGGAGAAAUAUAUAGAUGUGGAGAUGUGCACUAGUAAGGAAAGGGGGAUAGGUAAACACAACAUACACCUGCAUAAACACACACUAACCCUCAGUACUAAUACACCACUGCAGGCAAACAUGAGCACCCCACAUAAAUACACAUCUACAUUCAAACAUCUACACACUAACACUCAACAAAAAAUAUCUAAUACAUUUUAAAAUCCAUAAAUUACAUAUAUCCUGGUAAGCCCAUUCAUUGUGUGCAUAGGUAUCAUCCUUCUCGAUUCCACCUACCAGUGCUUAUCAGAUGUAUACAUUUUCAAGGUACAUGGGUUCCCAUGCAUACGGUUCCUUAUAAAUUACAUCACGCAGUUCUUAUCACGACUUCAGUAUAGCGGGAGCUGAACUGGCUUCAGGUUACUAUUUGCCACAGAUAGUGGUUCUAUGAGGCCAACUCCCAUCCUCACAAGGACGUUUUUGCCUAUCUGCCCAAAGGAUAGCUAGAAUCUUGCUCUACACCCGCACAUUUAGUCCCUCUUACCAUUAGGAAGGACAUUCUCAAAGUGAAAGACGUCAACCUAGUCUCUUUGCUCAAAGCCCCACAAGAUAUAAUUAAAACAAGUCCUACACCUACGGAGAUAUUAAAAGCCAGAGACCCAAGACUGAAUAAAAAAACUUUCCAUACCUGGGUUCAUUUUGGUCUUCAGGCUUUAUAGAGAUGUAAUAUGUUCUACCUAUUCUCAAUGUAGUGAAGAACUGGAUCUGUAUAUUCACAAGCUGGUAGACUUAGGGCUUAAGUACGGUUGUUUCACCUCCUAUAAUUGCCACAAGUUUUUUUCAGCCAAGGCAGCAUCUUCUCUGGCUCAAUUUACAUGGACACUUUAUACACCAAAACAACUUAAUCUAAAUGAAGUUGUUAUGGUGCCAGGAAGCCCCCGAAGGCAGUCUUAUCUCAAAUGGUUAAACUGUUCAAAGUUUUAACCCCAAAGUGCCCUCCAGCAGCAAUGUCCACUUCCCCCCAGGCAGGAUCCAGCUUCUGAAUUUUCAGUAUUUAGGAAGCGCAGUGCCAUUGGGCACUGAUUGUCUGAGAGCAGUCAGCUGAUGCUCUCAUCUAGUCAGUGACUCCCCAUUCACUGAACUGGCUUGAGAAAGUUUUGUGACAAUAGCAGAAUCUCUCUCGACAUCCAUGCUAGGACUGAUUCGCUAUGUGGCAUGAGUUUCUUGCUGACUGGAAUGGAAGGGCUGUAUUCAUUCUGCCACCUUUAGAUCAAUCCCCAACUCUAGAGACCGAUACCUCACGAGACUAUGAGUUUACUGGCAUUUGACAAAACCUUGUCUCUAUUUAAGAUUUAUCCCAUAAUAGCAGCAGCGCAGAUAUGGGGUAGGGCUUGGCAAGGUCAAUCAGUCAAAUGUUAUUCUGACAGGCAGUCAGAAUUUGAAAUUAGCAAGGGUUUUCCUUUAUUAACCAUCAUUAACCAUUAUGACAUUUAUUUGAAUAUUGGCGUGGUUAGCAGCUACUCAUUUCUAUUUGGUUUGUUUACAUGUCCUAGGGUGGCACUAUUCUACAGCUGAUGCUUUAUCCCAUUGUAAAUGACAGGUCUUCUUCAAACUUCAUCGUACAACAGAGAAACAUCCCACCAAGGUCCCAGGCUUCCAUUACCUGUGAAUGGAUUAGCUAAAUUUAUGUCCCAUAGCAUGUCCCAUUAUCUACUACUAGUAGGAAGUCCUACAAUAUGGCAUUAUGUAUCUUCAACAGAUUUGUUUCAGAAUAUCAAAUCAAUUAAUCUUUCUCUGUAGAAACCAUGGUUUUUCAGCUUUUUGCCACCUUAAUUUUAAAUUGUCACAUUAUACGAUUAAAUUAUACCUUACCGGUAUUCAGCACUAUUUGCAAACCAUAUUUCCCAAUCACAAAGACUUUAUGUUCUCAUACCCUAUAGAAAAAUAUACUAAAAGACAUUCAAUGGUUAGACUGUUUUCAGGCACCUAAACGCCAACCUGUAUAUGGCCUUAAAUUCCGGGCUUUAUGCGAUCUGCUCGACAAAGUACCUGUUGUGUGCCAAACAAACGCCAUUAUCAAAACAGCUAUAUUGCAUACUAUAGUUUCCUCUGCCCUAAAGAAUUUACUAUUGAAAAAUUAUCUGAUUCUGACAUGUGUCCUCAGUCUUUGACAAUGCAAAAUUAUCAAAUUGUCCCACCCACAGAAAUCCUGCUAUACCCUACUUACAAUAAUUGGUGCCCUGUGAACAUCUUGGAUCAGUACUGCCAUUCCCUUGCAUAUUUCACUAGGAACACUCCUACCUCUUUAUGGGAAACCCCUGACUUCUGCUAAAUUCAUUUUGUAUGCUAGGCCUUUUUUGGUUACAUUAGGUAGGGACCCUUUCGGCUUUUUCAGGGCAUUCGUUUAGGAUCGGUGCCACGUCAGCUCCAUUUAGCAAUAAUGUUCCAGCCCAUGUUAUUAAGUGCUUAGGCCACUGGAAGUCAACAGCCUAUGAGAGGUACAUCCCUCAACUUGAAAAUAAUUUAAAGCAGGCUUUUUAAGAUUUGGCUAUGUAAUAUGUGUAUUUCAUAAUAAAGUUGCAUUUUUCAAAAAUAUAUUUGCCUUCUUUAUUUACAGAUCUACCCGACUGUCAUUUCACACGACAACCGACUUGCUCAUUUAGGCGUCAGCCUUUGUCCCCAGCCACAAAUGUUAAGGCAAUAGCCUGGAAUUGUGGUAGGGGUUACCCGACUAUUUAUCCCAGCCUACCUCCUCUCCUGGGCUGUAGUCAUUCAGAUUGCCCCACCCACUCUCCCCCUUUUCUAUUAAUCAUUACCUUGGUAGGCCUUUUUUAUUUACAGGUGUAUAAAACCUCCCACAAUGCAAAGUCUUCCAGUGCCCCACCCGAGAUUGGGUUCUGUAUCCGCCUUUGACUGUAAUAUGAAAUGUGUUUGAAUGUAUCACAGAACUUCAUAACAAUAUCACUUAUAAUAAUAGUGUGUAGAAAGAAAAUAAUUAUUUGUAUAAAUUAUAUAUAAAUUAAAUUACAUACACUGGCUAGUUAUGAAUAAAAAUGCACAAAAUAGUAUUUCCUAUGACACCAUCAGCAACUUACUGUAAGACAAAAGUAUCUAAUUCUGACCAUUUUAAAUACAGAGAAUUACUUACAUAGGAGAAGAAAUCAGACCUGCUAUUUUAUACCUUUUAAACAAAACAUGUUUCAAUUGAAACUGUGCACAAGUCAAAUCAUCGGAUCCAGAGAUUCUCCAAAUAACUUAUCAAAAACAUUUACAAGGUUCUUUAUUCUUUUUUAUCAUUAUUAUUUUUUUUACGUGAAAUAUAGCAAUAAUCCUACUUCUCCUCCUGUGAUCGGCAGAGCCAGAUAAGAAUGUUAGACCCCAAUAGCCUUAUAUAGCAAGUCACCAUUGUAAUGGACACAAAAUGAAUACUAAAAAAAUGCAUUUAAACUAAUACUCAAUAUCUCAAUAAAACCACCCGUGUCUCUGAGAAGCUUUGGAAUGGAGAUUUGUCCAGUGCCUAAUGCUAACACGGUGUUGGGCAAAAAGAGGAUGAAUCAUUAUCUGCAGAAGCCAGUUCUGCAGCAAAUGAAAGGUAAGCUAUUAGGGCUUAAAUAGUAAUGCAUUAUAUUUGCAAUGAUAUAUGCAUUUUUGCAUAAAAAAAUCUACAUUCUUUUUUUUUUAUAAACAGGGAGCUACUGAUUGGUUUAGA
rnacentral:lncRNA from 1 species